rnacentral:lncRNA from 1 species
AUAUCUCCAACCUGGCUGGCUGGCGGCCUGUUGCUAGAUUGCAAGAUGUCUAGAAAUUAUGUUCAGGAUCUUUGUUUUAUUUGGCUUAUUUUUGUCUUCACUUUGUGUGAUUCGUGAAUUUUGUACUGAGAUGUUUUAACUUUGCAAUAAAUUGGUUGUGUGCAUCGCUUCGAUGCAGAGGCCGGGAGCCCCCCCCCCCCCCCCCUUUUGAAAGAAAAAACUCGAGGCGUGAUCCCAGAACGGAUCGGAAGGGGAGAACCCCUCACAGAACAUGUCAAACGCUUUGUCCGGCGCUAUAUUGGAACCCUUGACGAUCUUGUUCUCGAAGUGCCACCUUGACACGAAGGCAUCCUUGGGUUCCCGGCAAAGGUACACGAUCUUGCAGCCGCACGAGCUUGUCUCUGGCGGGAGCAUCGACAAUGGGAGGUGUGUGGAGAGGAGCCUGGGAGAAGGAAGCGUUUCGAGGUAGGCGUAGUCCCUGCGAGGGUCAGGGAUCUCGACAAAUGGCACAAGAUACUGAGGGUUGCUGGUUAGGAGGGGGUGGUCGUUGAAAUUGUAGCGAGAACGGUUGGUGAUGGUGAAAGGCAAGGGCCUUCAUCUAGGUAGUGCCACAUUUGGGCUGGGUGGCGAGGAUGAUGUCGUUGCGGCUGGGCUUGAAGGAGUCUUGGAGCAGCAUGAUCUUGCCAACAAGGUGCGGCCUGCACCAGUAGUUCUUGUACAGCACCAUUGGUUGUGACCACCCUUCUCGAUCUUUUUUUUUGAACGGGUGGUAUAUUACUCAAACAACAUAGUUCUUACAAUCAAACUGGAUCGAUCGCUCCACAAAAAAUGUCUUAAAUUUGUCAAAAUUUGGAUGUGUAAAAUUUGGUCAAAGUUGAAGUUGAGACAUACAUUGUUGGACGGAGUGAGUACAAAAUUUCGCUAGAUCAUGUGCUACCACAUUGUUAAGGCGGCUUGUGUAGGCAAACUUGAUGCCCGGGUCGCCGGAUCUCUUGGAUGACAGGUCUCAAGGAAGUCCUUGUAUCAGAAAGCAUGAAAAUUUUAUUUCUCUAUAAAAAAUUCCAUGUUUUUGGAUGGAUCAGCAUUUUCAGGUGCGGCACUCUCUUCACUCUUUGAUGUAAUGGAUGCCAUAUAUGGUUGAUGAGGAGAAGUCAAGCUCACAAGCUAUUGCUCAAUGUUAAUGUGUGGUAGGCGGUAGUACUUCCGUUAGAGGGAUUUGUUUGGGGUUAUAUAGCAACAGAUGGAAAUGGUUGGUGCGGUGAUGUAGUGGCCGUAGAUCAUACUAUUUGUUGCAAACCAAUAUAUAUCAAGCUGGUCGGUAGACGAGAUAACUUAUUAUAUGUAUGGAGUAGCUUGGCCGGAUUGUGUGGUAUAGAUGUAUAUGUUCUUAUACUAGAUGUAAAGAAGUACUUUUCAUCUCAGUUCCGUACAAAGAUGAAACGAUUCCAUUUUUUGUCCCCUGAAUUCGAUUAGAUUUGGCCGUUUGCAGCUAAAAGAUGCUUGCUGGUUGAUACCUUGUUGAUUGUGAUUUUAUAUGUUAUCUAUCCCUUAGUAAUUGGUGUAUGAGCGUGCGGACCGCGCCAAACAGAUUAGCAGCCACCAUCAUCAUAUAUAUCGACACACGUCAAGGAGAGCUGGCAGGCUGGUGUCCGAUCCGGACAAAUUGGCACUGACCAGUAUAUAAUAAAGGAAAAGCUUCAGUUGGUCUCGACCACAUUGCACGCGCUAUCAGUAGCCGUCCAUCGCAUCUAGCUUCUAAACGGCAGACUCAAGACCAGACGUUAACGACUGACGGAAAGUAUACAGCCACCCUAUUCUAACUCGUAGACCCUUUGGUCAUCCCGAUCCACAGAUCGAGAACGGCCCCACCUGACUCCAUGGUCCGAUCUGAAUCUCAGGGUUAGUGUACCGCAUGGCCUUUUCAUGCGUAUUAUCACUGGGUUGUCUCGUAUCUGGGCUGUCUCUUCGCUGUCUCGCUUUUUCGUCUUAAUAAACUGAUUCAUUCUCAAGUGAGAAAUAUAUACAGAGAAAACACAUAUCCUUAACAGAGAAUGGAUAUAUAUAUAGAGAGAGAGAGAAAAAACAUAUUUUUGACAGAGAAAAUGAAUAUAUAUAGAGAGAAAGAAAACACAGCAUAUUAUUGAGAGAAAAAGAAUAUGUAUAUAGAGAGAAAAAACGCAUAUUGUUGAGAGAAAAAAAUGUAUGUAUAUAUAGAGAUAAAACACAUAUUCUUGAGAGAAAAUGGAUAUAUACAUAGAGAGAGACAGAGAGAGAAACACAUAUACAUGAGAGAGAAUGAAUAUAUACAGAGAGAACACAUAGUCUUGAGAAAGAAAACAUAUACUCUUAAAACAAUGGACAUAUAUCACUGCCAGGAUUUCAGGAUUUGGUGACGGUGAAAAACCGUCAGAAAUAGCCGAAAACCUGACAGAAAAAAAAUGUGUGUCGGUCAACCGUCACGCAAAUACUGCCAGAGCUGGAGCGUCAGGGAAAAACAUUUUGCAUGUCGGUGACCCGUCACAAAUAUAAUUUCUGACGGAUAGGUCUGACGUUGGCCGACAGAAAAAUCUUUUGCCGUUUGGUUUCAGCCACCUCUCGUCUGACGGAUCACCCGUCACAAAAUGUCGACAGAAAAAUAAUUUGUGUCGGUUGAACCGACAUGAAUAUUCAUUUUUUCUGUCGGUUUAUCUGUGAUGGCACCCGUCAAGUUUAAUGUUUUGGUGUGACGGUAAUUAAACCGACGGUGGCCUGUCAGAAGAUCGUAUUGUCCUGACGUUUCAGCAGCCGACAAAGAAAAACGGUGCCGUCGGGAAAACAAGAUUUCUGACAGUGCAAUAAACAACAGAAAAAUAGAUAAUGGUCAGAAAAAAAGAAUUUCACAAUUGAAAGCUAGAAUCUGCAAAAAUGAAAUAAAUAGCUCCAGUUCAUAACAAAAUGUAUAUGCACAGCCAUUAGAUGCAUGACAUCAACACAACCUUGCAUUCAUCAUCCAAAUCAUAACGAACAUUACAGGAAGUCAAAGAUAUCAUUUUGUGUCCAUACAACAUAUUUCAACUACUGGUCAGAUUCAAGCAUCCAAAAGGAAUGGUUGCUACAGAUGACCAUUGUUGAACCUCAAAUCGCCAAAAAGAAGACAGUUUGUGAUCUUCUAGUACUCAGUGGUCACGGUCAGCACUAGCUACAGAUGACCAUUGUUAGAACCAAAUCAGCAAAAAAAAAAAACUUUGUGAUCUGGUACUACACAGUUCGCACGACCAGCACUAGCUUGCAUCAUGAUCAGCUUCACGGCCAGCACGAGCAUCAUCAUCCGCUUCACAGCAAACACGAGCAUCAUCAUCCGCUUCACGGCCAACAUCAAUAUCACUGUCAGCAUAUAAAGCUUCACUAUUAUAAUCAGAUUCAUUCUCCCCAUCUACAUUGAGUCUCCCAUUUUUGUCCAAGUCGGUAGCAGUGUCAUUGAUCUCCAGAUUGGUAGCAUUGUUGUUGUUGCCAUUAGCACUUGUUCCAGCACCAUCCAUUCAAUAAUUCUAGAUUGAUUGUGAGCCAGCAUGUGAAGAACCAGGUGCCCUCUACAGGAAACCAUGAUAAUUGAUUAUUAUGCUUGUCCAUAAGAAACUAACAUUUGAGACAAUAAGCCAAAAACAAAAUAAAGAUGUACUUUGCCACAUAUAUUUUGUACAUUUAUUUAUUCUGCUUGUCUAAUAUGGUGAGGAGCCUAACACUUAUAGCCCUCCCAGUAACCAUAAAAACCAAAAACUUACUAAGAAUGAGGUUAUCUGAUGUGUUACAAUUUUCAACAUGAAGCCUCACUGCUGCAUUGAUUGUUGGCAGUCUACCAUUACAAAGAUCAUUAGUGAUCUAGAUUAAUUAAGUCAACCCAAUUACAAAAGGUACCGCCAUCAAUUCUUUUUGUCACCAUCAUCAAUUCAAUUAACAUUAUAUAUGCAGAGUUGUUGAAUAAACUUACCUGAAACUGCGCUUGAACCUGUUGCCGACAACUCAAUAAAUGUCCUGGUGGUUCCUUUCCAAGCUCAGCAAAAAGCAUCUGCAUUCAUAUGUACAGGUCCAGAAUGAAGAGAAAAAAUGUAUAAAAGAUCCUUGAAUGGCAAAUAGCAUCUGCAUUCAUAUGUACAGUUCAAGAAUGGGCACAAGCUAGCAUGCUGCAUCCUGUUAUUGCUAUUUGAAUGGAACUAGCAAGUCCAUUGAGCUGUUUUAACAGUCCCUUGAAAAAUUAUCAAGCUCACGGCUUCAAUUUUGCUCACACAAUAGACAAGAGAUUUUAUUUAGUGGUAGCCAGAAUGAAAUGAAUGUUUAAAGAUGACAAAAAAGAACUCCUAUGUCUCAUCAUAUCUAUCAAAAGACAAGCUAAGUCCUGCUAGCUGGAAUGAAAUGAAUGUUUCCAUGGUUAAACAAUUCAAAUAUGGACAGGAAUUAAAAUUUAAAUGAGUAGAGUCAGUUUAAGGAUUUGGGUUAGGACAUCUUUACCAUGAUCAGUUCGUGGUCAACCUCUUGUUGCUGGGUUAGAUGUUGAUUGUGUUGUGUUAGGCCCUCGUUAGCACGUCGGAGUUGGUGAUUCUCUUCGGACAAGUGUCAAUAAGAAUCAGAAGUUGAUGGCCUAGCUUUCCUUCCUUUAGCUGCAGCAACAACAUCCGCCUUUCUCACAGCGCCAUCUCCUAUAAGAAAGCGGCCAUGAGGCAGACCACCGCCCUUUGUGUACAAGACAUGUCCAUCUACUUAUGGCUGCUCUGAAUCAUUUGGAUGUGCAGCUGCAACUCUUUCCUAGUAGUCCCUCUACAAUUUACAAAUACAACUUACAUUCAUGUUGCCUCACACACACUCACACAAAGUGAACAAAACAAGAUUAGAGUGUAUAUACCAUGCGCUUUUGUGCUUUCUGGCUGGGGAUUGCUCCACUACUUCCAUUACUGUCCAUAUUCUUGGCACCUGAUUUCAUGACGGCAUAUUUGUUCAAAAUUGUAGCCUUUUCGGGUCCAUGUAUAGCUUCCUGCAAGCACUUUCAGACAUUAGUUCAUCAAGGUUCUAAAUCUGAAAAAUGGAAUUAACAAUGAUUAUUGUACACACGAACAAUAGAGAAAAUCUUACAAUGUAUUGUUGUGUCUCCGUAAAUGGGCGUGAACCCCCUCUGUUUUGAGCAUUAUUUUCAGAACCAAAGCAAGAAUCUUGGGCUUUUGAUCUUUUUUCCUUGAACUCAGCACUAUCCCAGUAUGCAGCAAGAAGGGGCCAAACAUCCUUUUUGCACCAUUCUACCCUAACAUUGAGGUACUCAUUCUCAUCAAGUUCUCUACGACAUGCAAGAGUGUCAUCAAGAAUCUCUCCUUGGUUCUCAUAAUGCAGCUUCACAGCAUCCACCCGAACUUGGUACAUUAUGUUCCGAACUCUCUUUCUACAAUAGUUUUCAAGAACACGGGCAGCCUCUCGCUUGUGUUCAUCAGCCACGGUGAACAAACGCUGCAAAGUGCACAACAACAAAUUAGUAUAAAGAAAUUGUGUUCAAGUCUUAGAUGUGACUCUAAUUACCCAAAAUUCCUUCUUCACUUUGUGUGCACAUGUCUCUCCUUGGUCAUUAGUCUUCUCAUAGAAAUCCGCCCAUGUCGUUGCUGGAUAUAAUUCUCCAUCCGCGUCCUUCAAAACACCAGGGUAUUGUCGUUUCAGAAUACAUCCAAGCUGGGUGGUGUACUUGUAGUCACCGCAAGUAUAGUCUCUGUACGUGAAUUGCCUACAAAAAUGUUAAAGUAUGAGAACUACAAUUAGAUAAAAGAGAACAGCAAUAUGUACAUCUAGGAAUUCACUUAUGUGUCACCCUGAGGUAUAAGGACCACUUUCCGUCCUCGUAGAGGAUUUCUCAUCUCAGUCCUUGACCUCUUGCGCCUCCCUCUUGUUUCUACAGCUGCUGCCCUUUUAGUACGAACAGAAUCAGUUCCUCCUCCGGAGUUAGCUAUUCCUUCUAGCUACAAUGCCACCAGAGUUGGGUAUCUCGUCGUUUCUCAGCUCAGUCCUUGACCUCUUUUGCCUCCCUCUUGUUUCUACACAGAUGGGUAUCUCGUUGUUUCUUUCAGCUGCAAUACCGCCAGAAUUAGAUAUUUGGAUGUUCCUUUUGCUGGGGUGAUCUCCAUGGCAAGUAACGCUCCUUUGGCUGCUGCCUCCACCAGUACCUUGGCUGCUGCCUCCACCUCCACCAAUACCUUGGCUGCUGCCUCCACCAGUACCUUGGUUGUUGCCUCCACUAGUACCAGCACGCGAUGACUUCCUUAUGUCGAAGCCCCUCCAUCUCCUGUAAUCAAACAUAAGCUUGUUAGUUCAUGCAAAUUUUAAAAUUAAACACAAUAUAUAAAACACAUACACAAUCAGGGAGACAUAGCAAAAUGAGACAAUAUAGGUGAACAUGUAGCAGAAGCAACAAAAUAAGAGUGCGACAACAAAAUUACACAAGCUACACAACAAAUUAAAGACACAACAGAAUUAUACAUUACAACUGUUCUCAACAAAAAGAGUGCGACAACAAAAUUGCACAAGCUACACAACAAAUUAAAGACACAACAAUAGCGAUAUGAUAUUAGAAAUCUUCUGGGUCAUAAGGCGGAUGAUCAGCAAGUGGGAGUUGUCUGGAUCCUCUUCGUCUUCUGUUUUUUCAGCCUCUUCACCAUUUGUCUUCACACAAUGUUGGGGUUGGCUAGCAAUUCUAAAUCUCUGGCAUUAGUUAUAGUUAUCUCAUCUGAGAUCAGGGGUGUCAUAUUGUCAGGAUUAAGAUCCAAGGCAAUAGUGAAAUUUCCAUGCGGUUCUUCCUCUUGAAACACCGGGGCAAUUUCCACGGGCCCUUCAGAAGGGUUAGAUUCAGUAGCCGGUUGUUUUGGUAGAUGAAGAGGGAAUUGUGAGAGCGGACGUUUGUCACUUGUCUACACAUAGCCUCGUGGAGGGACGUGAUAAACCACUUGCCAAUAUAUAAGAUCUGACCUUGUCUUGCAUGCAUAUGACAAGUAAUAUACUUGAGUAACUUGACUUGCCAAGACAAAUGGUUCAUUAGUCUGCAGCCUAGAUGUGCGCUUAAUUUCUACCAGCCCUAAAUUUGGUGAACGCCUAACUCCGGUUGUUGGAUUAAACCAGCGACAAUCAAAUAAAACAAGCUCUAGCUGCAUGCUGCCUUCCCAUUUAAUUUUAAUAAUGUCUUCAAUGACACCAUAAUACUCGGUGACAUUGUCUUCAUCAUCUGUACAAGAGACACAAACACCACUAUUAAUAGAAGCGUUUCCUGAUCUCUUGUUCUCAUACUUCUCUGACCGAAACCUAUAGCCAUUGAUAUCAUAUAUUCCAUAUGAUGUAACUUUUCGUAAAAAACCAUAAGAAAGUUCGGACAAACAAUUAUCAAUUCCAGAAGUCUUCAUGCACUGCAAAUGGAGUAAGAUAUGUAAGUUUUCAGCGCAUUAAUUUGGUAUGUUGGACUGAUUUUGAAAGGUUAGAAAUAUUACUUCAUUCCUGAACCAAUCAAAGAAAUUGGGUCCAUUUCUUUUGCCACGACCAAUUUUCCAACCAUUUAAUCUUAAGUCACGACGAUGCUUGUCAUUUGGUUCAACUCUGAUGCUCUUCCAUUCUUCCUUUUGAAAUUUGCUAAAACAACAAAACAAAGAACUCAUCCUAAUUAUUGAAAGACAUGGAUAGGAUUUUCAGAAUUGGAUUAUUAACAAGACUUACACAAAGAAGUCAUACAUCUCUGGUAUGUUGGUUAAUAUAUACAGGGCAGCAGCCUUGUACUCAUCAGGUUUGAGUAUACGAGAUCCUUGAGUGUUCGUGUAUCGGCCUUGGUAUUGAAAGAAAUCAAUGGUGCAUGAACUAUCAUUGGAAGGGCCAUUCUCAUCAUACCGAGGCGUCUUAUUUCUGGCUGAUCGAACACCAGCCCUAAAAUAAAGGGACAAAAAAAGAGUCGCCUCCUCAACUAAGUAAGCUACAAUGGAAGCCUCAACACGUGCCUUAUUGCGUACCUUCUUCUUAAGAUCCCCAAUAAACCUAAAUAUAUGUUUUCUCAACAAUUUAGGAAAGAAGAGAAUAAAUCAUAGCACAUUGUGUGUUAGAACUUAGAAAUUUACCUUUCAAAUUGAUACAUCCAUCGAUUCUGGACUGGACCUCCUAGUCUAGCUUCAUAAGGAAGAUGCACAAUUAGGUGUUGCAUAGGAUUGAAAAAACUAGGAGGAAAUAUCUUCUCCAAUUUAUAGACUAGUGCAGCCACAUCCUGUUCUAGAGACUGCACAACAUCCCAGCUCAGUUCUUUUGCACACAGUUGACGAUAGAAAAAACUCAGCUCAGCCAAACAAAUCUAUAUAUUUUCUGGAAGAAAACCCCUAAAUGCUACAGGGAGUAAGCGUUCGAUAAAUAUGUGAAAGUCGUGACUUUUCAGGCCAAAGAUCUUUGAUUUCUUUAGAUUAACACCACGCUUAAUGUUGGCUGCAUACCCAUCUGGAAACUUCAGUUUCUGAAACCAUCCUAGGAUAAUUGCUUUGUCAUCCUUCUCGAUGCAGAAUUUGGCCCUAGGCUUCUCCCACUUCCCAUUCUUGUUUGGAUCAGACAAAUGCAAAGCUGGACGGUGGCAAAUUUGUUGUAAAUCAAGUCUGGCCUUCCAAUUAUCUUUGGUCUUCUCCUUUAUAUCAAAACAUGUGUUCCAUAUAGCCUCUGCUACGUUUUUCUUCAUUGUGCAUUACAUCAAUGUUGUGACGAAGAAGUAAUUUAUUAAAGUAUGGAAGCUGCCAAAAGCAACUUACAUGGCUCCAAUUGUGUGUUGAAUUGUACCCUUUCUUAUCACUUACAAGAUUGUUCAUUUGGGAUUCCACUUCAGCUCCUGUCAAAGGCCUAGGUGCAAUGUCAUGUAUAGUUGUAGCCUUUCUAAAUGCAUUCUCUUGGUUUCUGAAUUCCUAGUCUUUGGGUAGGUGGCGUCUAUGAUAAUCAAACCAACAAGCCUUUCCACCAGCUUUGAGUCGAAAAGCUUUGGUAUCAGACAAACAGAUUGGGAAAGCAAGAAGUGCAUGGGUGCUCCAACCAGAAAAGUUGCCAUAAGCAGGAAAAUCAUGAAUUGACCACAAGUACGCAGCCUUCAUCCUGAAUUUUCUUUUUACCGAGGCAUCCCAUGUAUCUACCCCCUCCCAUAACUUCAUAAGUUCAUCCACUAAAGGUUGCAUUAUAACAGAGCUCAACUUAUUACCAAGGUAUUCAGGACCAGAAAUUACCAUGGAAAGGAAUAUGUACUCCUUCUUCAUGGCCACUCCAGGUGGAAGAUUAAGUGGAGCAACAAAUACAGGCCAACAUGAAUAAGAGGCAGCAGUUAAGUUGAACGGCGUGAAGCCAUCGGUUGCAAUAGCUAGUCUAACACUUCUAGGUCACUAGCAAAAUCUUUGAACUCUUCAUCAAAGUUCUUCCAUGCAUCCCCAUCACAAGGGUGCACCAUCUUCCCUGAUGUGGACUGCUUAUAAGACUUCAUUAAUUUUGAUACAUCGGCAUGUGCAUACAAUCUUUGUAGUCUAUCUGUAAUGGGGAGGUACCGCAAUAUUUUCCUAGGGACUUUGUUUGUGUCAUUCUCAUAUCUAGGAGUUUUACAAAAGUCACAAAUGACUUUAUGUUCAUUGUCUUUGUAAUACAACAUACAAUUGUUAUAAGACAUCAAUUUUGACAUAUGGUAUUCCCAAACCUUCUAACAAUUUCUUUGAAUGGUAGAAGUCUUCAACCAAAUUAGAAUCAGGAGGAAGAAGCUCAUGGACUAGCUUUAGGGUAUCAUCAUAAUGUGCAGUAGACAUGUUGUAUCGUGCCUUUAAAUCUAGCAUCCGAGCUACAGUGGAAAGACUUGUAUGUUGCGUGUUGGCAUGAACCUUAUCAUCAACAGUGUCAAGCAUCCUAUAAAAUGCCUUAGCAUAAGGUGUUGGCUCCUCAUUGACAAUGUGUGAUGUAUGUUCAGCAGCUAGGUCAUCUAACAUAUCAUUCAUGCGGUCCACUACAUCACUAGCGUGCCCCAUAUCAACAUCAUUUUCAUCAUUCACAAUAGGUGUCUCACCAUGGGCAGACCAUGUUGUGUAGUUUUCCAUAAACCCCCAUUUGGCCAAAUGCAACUCUACAUCCUCCCUUAUGUGCCGAUAAUCAUUGCGGCACUUCAUGCAAGGGCAAUUAAUGGUACCAUUUUCUACUAAAUUUGGAAGAGAAAAGGCACGAUCCAAGAACAACUUUGUUUGUUCUAGCCAUUCAGUUGACAUACUUCUACGACUCCAACCACUAUACAUCCAUUCACGAUCUUCCAUCGAUCACACUUCUAAAAUAAAAACAAUUAACUCAAUAAAAACAUAGCACAUGCAAUCUGUGUAAGAUAUAAAACAAAGCAUUCAUGAAACGCAUAUCACCAUAUGUCCACAUAAAGAAGAAAUAGCAUAUCAAAAUUUUAACUUUGAAGGAUUCACUUCACAAUGUUACAGAGGAGGGGAUUUCUUGAUACUCACCUCGUCAGAUUCGCAGAAGACUCAAAACAGAAUGGAGCUUCGGCCAAGCAGUAGAGAGUGAGGUCGCCGGCGUCCAGUCUUCCGUCACCUUCCAGCAAGCGUCACCAUAGAUAGCGAGCUAGCUGCAACACGGGUAGUCUGGGAGGGAGGAGUAUGGUGCGGGAGGGAGAGAGAGAGCAGGAGCGGCGGCGGGAUCCCCACGGCGUGUGGCCGUGAGUGGCGGCGAGAUCCCCACGCCGCGCCGCCGGAUGGAGUGGCGGGUCGCAGGCUAGGGAGGGGCCUAUGGGUGGCGGGGCGGCUGGGACCUGCGGGUGGCGGGUGGCGGGUGGCCGGCCGGGAUGGGCUGCGGGCGGCGGCGGGCGGCGGGGUGGAGUGGCCGGGUACUCUGCGCGGGGGCAGGGGGCUGAGUAGUCUAGGUUUUGGGAUUGGGAGGGGUUUUCUUUUCUUUUCUUUUUUUGCUCGACCAACUGUGCAAGGCGCGUUGUUUACUGAAAAAAGCGCGCUAGUAUCGGCGCGAACCCAAUUCGAUGGAAAGAAAAAUCUGACAUUUAUUUCUGGCGUGGUUUUAUAAUUUCCCGUCACAAAAAAACUAUAUUUCUGACGGUGUCCGACACGCAAAUUAAUCACCGUCACGAUAAUAAUUUGGAACCAUUUCAAUUAAAUUUUGAAAAUGGUGUGGAAGUGUAAAAAUUGGCUAUACUCUAAACAACUAUGUAAAAUGUAGUUUUACACACUUACAAAUGUUUUUGGAUCAAAAAAGAUAGAUUAAACUUCAUUUGCAUCACUAACUUCACCAUUUCAUUCUAACUUCACAAUUUCAUUCCAAGAGAUCGUAUGACACAUCGUAUGAGAUAUCACCAUUACAAUGCAAUGUAUAGUCAUACUUCUCUCAAAUGGCCUCAACAUGUUACGCCAGCCUUAUUAGUGCCUAAAUCGAUCCGUGGUUGAUUUUCAAAUUUUUCGGAGGACAUUUGGAUCUUAUUUGAAUAAAAUUUGGUUAAAAUACAUUUUUUAUUCUAAUUAAUAGCCAACAAGUAUAAAAAUUUACCAUACUCAAAUGGAAUGAACAAAAUUGUCCAAAUAGUUUGAAAGUGUUUAGAGCAAGACUUAUAGUGUUUGCUUCACAAAAGUGAUAAAAAUAAUUUUUGUGACGCUAUUUUUUUUACGGGUACAUCAUAACCGCCACAAAUAUGUGUUUUGUGUGACGGUGAACCGUCACAACAAUAGGUAAGACCGACAUGAAAAUACCGAUUUUCCGUGUCGGGUCCCUUCCGCCGCAAAAUAGUUUAUUUUCUGUCGGUAGUGUGAAGGCCUGCCCCGAAAAUUAUUAUUUUAGUGUCGCUAGUUGUGUGCCCGUCACAAAUAUAAUGUUUGUGACGGUAAUUCUGCUGCCCGUCACGAAAAUAAAUCACCGUUACCGAACCCUGAGAUACUGGUAGUGAUCUCUUCCAUGCCGGACAGCUAAGGGACAUGUCAUAUAUGGAUAUGAAAUUUUCAUUUGGGAUAGGCAUCAAAUGCAGAUCACAUCUACACACAACAAUGAUAGAUCGGGAAAGAAGGAUUGUUUUACAUUUUCUCUUGUGGAUUGAACAGUUCCCAGCCUUUUUUCUUACUAUGGUGACAGAUCGCAUCUACACGCAAAUGUUGUACUCCCUCCAUCACAUAUUAAAGUGGAUUUUCUAUUAUAUGUAUCUAAACACUUUUUAGACAUAAAUAUAUUCAUAUUUGGACAAUUUUGAGUCACUUAAUAUGGGACAGAGGGAGUACUGUACUAUUGUUGCUUUUGCAAAUAACCUAUUUUUCUUUACCAGUGCCUAAUCAUAUAGGAUUAAUGGGACCGGUAUCUGUUCGUGUGGAAAAAACAACUGACGGAGAAAAAAAAUUCAAAUAAACAUAGCCUUGCAGAGCAGGGAGCAGUAUGUAACUAUAGAGUAUAGACCCAGUCUUUUUUCUUACAGUACGCGCGAUUGAAAAAGGCUCGUGCAAAACACUGUGGAUCGUACAGUGUCAAUGCACGUCGCGUCAUGAACAUGCUACGGGACCACAGACGUUCUCCGUUAGACGACGUCCACAAUGUCAAAAGAUGACGUACACAAAAACGAUCGACCGUCCAGUCCAGUUCCUGAGGACGGACAAGAUUCGUGGAGUGCUACGCUCGAGAGCAGAAAAUCCUCUCUCAAUAAAGGAAACAUCACCCUGUCACUAUAUGUAACAUAUGCCCCGUACACCGCCAUUUUCUCGAAAAGAUGCUGCACAGCAACUAACGAAGACGUCGCCAGCUAAAGAUAAAACUUGUGCACAAAGGAAGGGGGCAUCUUAAUUUGAGCUCCAACUUGGGCAUCUCGUUGUUCCUUUUAUCCUGCUACUGCUAGCUAGCCUGAAGAAGAAAAUAUUUGCAGAUGCUGGCUGCUACUUGCCUCCGUCGACAUUGUCAAGCAUAUGUAACGUGGCCGGCCGUGACUGCUGAUGGAGUAACUGCCAUCACUGCUGACCUACACUACACGGUCUAUGGAUUUAACUUGUACUGCAGAAAGCAUCUUACAUGUAACCAAAGCAGCAGGAAGCAUCUUUCGAUCAGGUGCAUCUCAUCACACUCAAUGACACAGCUAGAGGUGUGUUUGGAAUACUGGAUGUUUGCUUCCUAAAGAUGCUCUCAGGCAUGAAUGAAUAUUGCAUUAUGUUUCUAACACUCCCAUGACAACGUACACUGCUGCGCAUAGUUUAACCUACCAACAGACUACCACUAUCCCACCUGGCCACCCAUCUCAAUACUGCAAUAUAUUUAUACCGUCUCUUUCAGUGUCUGUCCACAUAUAUACGUCCAAUUAAUUUGGCAGACGUUUAGUUAAUCCGAGCUUCCGAAGCAAGAACGUAACAAUCAUCAUUUCAGCAGCAUUUGUAUUUAAGUCCUCGGAUGAUCAGCCAAGUAAUUGUGCCCCCAAACAGCUAGAGAAGAUGAUGGGCGGCGUGGGAGUGCUGCUCUCGAGUUGGAUAGAGGGCUCGCCGUCCUUCUCUGCAGUGUUCUUCACCUUGGCUGCUCUUGUCUUCGCGGUCUACUUCUACGAGCCGUCAUGGCGGGUGCGCAGGGUCCCCGGACCGCUCGCCUUCCCUCUCAUCGGCCACCUGCCCUUGCUGGCUAAGCACGGCCCAGAGGUGUUCGGCGUCCUCGCUGAGAGAUACGGGCCAAUCUACAGGUGAGCUAGCUGUCGUGGUCUGAUUCCCUCUUGGACACUGAUCAAACUCUGGUGCUGGGUUUUGAAAACUUAGUCCUGUUUCCAGGUUUCACAUGGGCAGACAGCCGUUGGUUAUGGUAGCAAGCCCUGAGCUCUGCAGGGAGGUAGGCAUUAAGAAGUUCAAGAGCAUCCCCAACAGAAGCAUGCCUAGUCCCAUCCGUUGCUCACCUAUUCACCACAAAGGCCUCUUCUUCACCAGGUAAGUACAGACAAGCUUACGGUAUUUACUUUGGUGUUGGAAAAUAUUCCUUAAUAUACCCAUAUUCAUAUGAAUGAUGAGACUUCAACCUAGAUUGGUUGAUUUUGGGGAAAACGAAUGAACAUUGAAAAUGAAAGAAACUUAUUAGCAUUGUGACGAGUCAAAAAUAAAAUGCGAUAAAUAGUUCACAAUGGAACUCAGAAUGUGUAAAAUAGUUCACAAUGGAAAACUUUGUAGUAGUAUGUUUUGGUUGACAGGAAAGUCGUCCGAUUGGACUCUAAAUUGUAAAAGAGAACAGUACCACCUUUCAAACGUGCCACCGAGGCAGCACGUGAGGGUUUGGAUGUCUCUUGAAAGUGGUACUCCCUCCAAUCCUAUAUUCUUUGUCGUGGUUUUAGUUCAUCAAGGGUGGACCCCAGGAGAGGGGGCAAAGAUUGUAAGCUUUUGAAAAUAUAGACAAAAAUUAAAAGAAUGGGGCAAAUAUUUAGGUUGGGUGGGGGCAAUCUCUAUGUACUAUGAACAUAUAUAGUAUCGAAAGUGGUACUGACAUUUGUACAAAAUAAAGGAAAAGGUGAGGUUACUCUCGACCUCACUGUGCCACUUAUCUGGCCGUAGAUCCGGCCGUUUGCACAAACGGCAAGGAACGGAAAGGUUUCUCAGAUGGCAUAGGGGACGUACAGCUGGGCUCUUAGGGUUACUGUUACGCCUAGACAUCUCAUUAUUUCCUAUACCGCACCUAAGGUUUAAAUCCGAUCGUGGUUGUCGAUGCUGGACGUGUGUUUCAUCGCUAAUUCGUGAUGUACUGCUGAGAGAGAAGGUGUAUAUAUACACACAUGGAGAGAGAAAACACAUAUUCUUGAAAGAGGAUGGAUAUAUAGAAAGCAAAACAAAAUCGAAUAGAGACCUUAGGAAACACAUAUUCGUGAGAGAGAAUGGAUAUAUUUAUAUCUAGAGAAAACACAUAUUCUUAAGAGAGAAUGAAUAUAUAUAGAGCAAAACAGAAUCGAAUAGAGAGAAAACACAUAUUCGUGAGGAAGAAUGGAUAUAUUUAUAUAUAAAGAGAAAACACAUAUUCUUGAGAGAUGAUGGAUAUAUAUAGAGAGAGAAAGACGAGAUCAAAUAGAGAGAGAAAACACAUAUUUGUGAGAGAAUGAAUAUAUACAGGGAGAGAGAGAAAACACAUAUUCUCGAGAGAGCAUGAAUUUAAACAUAGAGAGAAAAAUGAAAUCGAAUAGAGAGACAAAACACAUAUUCGUGAGAGAUAAUGAAUAAACAGAUAGAAAACACGUAUUCUUGAGAGUAUACAGGUCAAUGAACGACGAACAGUACAACGUUGGGUUCCUUAUCUGCCGCGACACUGUACAUGAACAAUGACUUGCUUUGUCCUACCCGUAGGUUCUACUCCCUCCGUUUCAUAAUUCUUGUCGAAAUAUUAUAUGUAUCUAUUUUUAGACAAAUUUGAGACAACAAUUAUGCAACUGAGAAAGUAACUUUUAUCUGCGGAUCGGCACCAGUAGAGAUCUUUGGUUGAUUAACCAGGAAGAUUGAUCCAGAUCCUUUUACCCAUGGUACACUGCGGGAUGGGGAAUCAAUUAUAAAAUUUUCCCAGGUACAGUUUUACACUGUAGUCACGCAGGGCAUGCAGUAGCCUGCCGCCUCCUACGCUUAGGUAGCGACGGUGACGGCGUCUGCUUACGUCUGGCCUGCCUCACGCUUCCCGAUCAGACGUCUCAGCGCAACAGCCUAAACGGUCCAGAUAGGUGGACUAGAGUUCUCGGGUGUAAAAAAUGCGGUCUCGAAAAUAAAUCCAAUAGUCUCUAUAAUGAAAUUAAAUUACUAUGAAAAGAAUUAAAACCUGACCUUAUAUUAUAUGUUUUGGCAGGGACACAAGAUGGCAAACCAUGCGGAACGUCAUCAUCUCCAUCUACCAACCGUCGCACUUGGCAAGCCUGAUCCCAGCCAUCCAACCUUACGUGGAGCGGGCCGGUCGUCUCCUCCGCCAUGGAGAGGAGAUCACCUUCUCCGACCUCUCCCUGAAGCUAUUCAGCGACACCAUCGGCCAGGUCGCCUUUGGGGUCGACUUCGGCCUCACCAAAGGCAAAGGCGCCGAGGCCGAGGAGAGCAUCCCCGACGGCUUCAUCCGGAAGCAUUUCUACGCCACCACCGAGCUCAAGAUGGACCUGUCGGGCUCACUGUCCAUGUUGCUCGGCAUGGUGGCGCCGCUGAUGCAGGAUCCCGUGCGGCAGCUCCUGCUGCGCGUGCCGGGCUCCGCCGACAGACGGAUGGAGGACACCAACUUGGCGCUGAGCGGGCUCCUGGACGGGAUCGUGGCGGAGCGGGCUGCGCUGCCGGAGCUCGAGAGGGGGCAGAAGAACUUCCUCUCGGUGCUGCUCAACGCCAGGGAGAGCACCGAGGCCUUGAGGAAUGUGUUCACGCCCGACUACGUGAGCGCGCUCACGUACGAGCACCUGCUCGCCGGGGCCGUCACCAUGUCCUUCACGCUCUCGAGCCUCGUGUACCUGGUGGCCGCGCACCCGGAGGUGGAGGAGAAGCUUCUCCGGGAGAUCGACGCGUUCGGGCCCAAGGACGUGGUGCCCAGCGCUGAGGAGCUCCACAACAAUUUCCCCUACCUAGAGCAGGUAUAUAUGACGUCUAGCUACAGUAUGUUUUAAUUAACGAUUAAACCUGAAUUUUGAAGCUAAUUAAACCCUAAACCUAAUAUAUAGGUCUUGAAGGAGACCAUGAGAUUUUUCACCGUGUCUCCGCUAAUUGCAAGGGAGGCAUCCGAAGAUGUUGAAAUUGGAGGCUAUCUCUUGCCCAAGGUAUUAAUUCUUUAUCUGCAUUCCACGAGGUCCUCAUUAGUACAUCUUUAUCAAGUUUUGCAUCCGACAAAAAUUCCCAGAAAGCACGACUUUUUUAUUACGAAAUAAGCUACUCCCUCCAACCGGUCUUGUCUCAAAUUUAUCCAAAUACAGAUGUAUCUAUAAGUAAAAAACGUCUACAUAUAUGUAAUAUUUUUACAAGUAAUUCCUACCGGCCGGAGGGAGUAGCAUUUAUGCUCCUCGAUCGACUAAUGUGUUGGUUCUACAAGUCAAAUUUCUUAGUACAUCAUUGUUUGUUUGUACAUUCCCAACAACAAUUCUGACAACCCACAAUCUGGUGCAAAUUAAUGUAUGCAAGGGCACAUGGAUAUGGUUGGCACCAGGCGUGCUAGCAAAAGACCCGAAGCAGUUCCCGGACCCUUAUGUGUUCCGUCCCGAGAGGUUCGAUCCUGAGAGCGAGGAAUGCAAGCAGAGGCACCCCUACGCCUUCAUCCCCUUUGGCAUUGGUCCUCGGGCAUGCAUCGGACAGAAGUUCUCCAUGCAGCAGCUCAAGCUCGUCGUCGUCCACCUCUACCGCCAGUACGUCUUCAGGCACUCACCAAAUAUGGAGGCCCCCCUUCAGUUCCAGUUCUCCAUUGUUGUCAACUUCAAGCACGGUGUCAAGCUCCAUGUCAUUGAGAGGAAUGCAUGAUGUGUGUGCGACAAGUGGCGUACAAUAAGCAUGCCAAAUGGACUGCAUAUAUAGGGCCUGUUUGAUUUACAACCAAAAGUAGCCUCACCAAAAAAUUGUCUUGCCCAUGAAAUUUGGUUGGUGUUUGGAUGGACUCCAAAAUUUUGGCUCGCCCAGCCCAUCUGGGGCGCGCCCGUGCGUUUCCACGCGAAGUAUUGGCGAGUCGAGGGCAAUAAAAAGCUCCGCCAAAGAAUUGACAACGCCCCUCACCCUCUAAUCUCUGGUGGCCCACAACCCGUUCUUCUCAAGGGGUGCCUAACGAACACAGAAAAAUACGGUUUCCGGCCGCGCGUGUAUCUCCACACCGAUCGCUUUUCCGUUUUUCUUGUAUCUUUCUCCUCCUUUUCCUCUAGCUAAGCACACCAUGGGUCGAAUCAGAGCAGAAAUAUCAAAGGAACAGGUGCUUUUGCUCUGUGAAAAAGCGAAUCGGUGCAUCAAAGAGAAAGUUCAGCAAACUUUUACAACUGUCUCGAUCCACUACUCUGAUCGAUCAGUUACUUCUAGAUCUACCUCGAGAAUAAAUAAGUGGUUCAUGCUAAAAUUUUACGAGAAAUAAUUGUAGCACGAUUAUUAUAAGUUUGAGUUAAGUUGGCUGCAAACCAAAUGUGGGAAUAAAAAGUUUGCCAAAAAGUUGGCAUUGCAAUGGUAGCAAUCCAAACAACACCCUCUUACCAAAGGUCAUGCCCUUGUUUUGAUCAUGCCAAAAUUUGCCAAAAAAAAAUGGUGGGGCUGAUUGGGGCUCCAAACAUAACCUGGUUUAGAGCCAAUAUGUACCAAGCCAAUUUUUUGGUGUUGUUUGGAUGAUUGCCAACUUUUUGGCUUGCCAAUGUUACUUUGUCAGUUCACUUUUUUUUUUUGUUAAAGUUGGCCAAAUCAUGAGGAAACAAAAGAACAAUCAAAUUUUGACAGAGCGAUGAUGGCUAAAACCAACCAGCCCCUGAUUUACAAGUUGGGGGUGGAGGAGCUGCUUCCCGGCCUUGACUUGAAUUCCUCUGCUAGCUGCUGUCCAGACAGAGUGAGUCUAGUCGUGUCUUGUCUUCUCAUGUGGGUUUGGCUGAGCCUGAGCCUGAGCCUGAGGGCAGUCGAGUUCAAGUCUGGACUCAUGACUUGGUUGAGUCCAACUCAUACUCUUUGCUCGCUGCAUGCACACAGGUCAAACCAGACAGAAAUCCCCAAAUCCACAGAAUCGAUCAUUGCAUCAUCGUCUUGGAUCGAGCAGCAGCCAAGCCAUGGCGGCACAAGACUCUUCCUCCGGCGACACAAGGCUGAGAUCCGCUCUCACGGUGAGCGCCGACGACCGCGCGCGCCUCCACGCCCUCUUGCAGGACUCUCCGUCUCCGGCUCCGGCUCCGGCAGCAGCGAACAAUACUAGUCAACAUCAUGUGGCAAGCUUCUUCGAGGGGUUGGCGCUGCGAGGGAUCCGCGUCCUCAGCAUCCAGCCAGGCCUCAUCCGCUGCUCCUACACCGUCCCAAACCACCUCACAGUAUGUGCUUUCAUCCCUUCUUCUUCAUCCAACCUUUUCCAUUUCUCUCGCCUCACCAAAACACACAACACGGCACGCAGGACGCCGCCACGGGCUGCCUGGCCGCCGGCGCCGUGGUGUCCCUGGUGGACGAGGUCGGCUCGGCGGCCGCCAUCGCCGACGCGCAGAACCUCAAGGUCUCCGUCGACAUGUCCGUCGCCUUCGCCGACCUCUCCCAGGCGCGCCCGGGGGACAAGCUCUGCAUCGUCGCCAGGGCCUUGGGGCACAAGGGCGCCUACUCCGGGACGCACGUGCUCUUCACCAACGCCGGCAAUGGCCGCGUCGUCGCCGAGGGCAGGCACUCCCUCUUCGGCAACAUGAAGAAGAAGACUACAACUCCUGCUCCUGCUCCUGCUGCUCACACCAGGAGCAACAUGUGAUGUAUCAUCUACUGCGUAUCUACUACUAAGCUCAUUCAUCAUGUAUGUAUUCUGUAAUGCUUAUCUACUACGUACGAAUUAGCUCAUUCAUCAUGUACUGUACUACUAUAACCCUGCAGUUUGAGCAUACCAACUAGCAAGCAUUUCCAGUUCCUGUUGUAAUAACAAUGAUAAAAGAUAACAACCACCAGAGGACAUCAUCAAACAGUUAAUUGCAUUCCUUCUGGCUCAUCAUCGUCAUCACACCAGAAUAUUGUCUGCUGAGGCUAAUGUUUUGUCCAUCCACCACAAAAUAAGAACUACUUUCAGAUCCAGAAUUCUAUUUUGGGUGCUAUGAAUAACCCACUACAGAUUUUAUUACAGUUGCGCUGUCAAAUUUUAACCCUUUUGUUGCCGAUUCUCUCAAGGGGAAAACUUCCUCUGCGAAAAAUAAAUGUGCAAAGUCUUUCUUCUUGUAUACCACCACCACCCAGGCACCCACUACAAAAAUCGGACAUCUUCUAGUUUCCAGGCUUCCUCACAAACGCCUUUUGGACCUGCACAGGUACAGCACAAAACAAGUUAUUCUACAGUCCAUUUGACAUGCUUACAUACUUCCACUGUGAUAGUUAUCAACUUGUUUACCUGCUCCAGUGUCAAGAACAUAAUCACAUUCCAUGAUCCCAGCCUAGCAAAGUUUGGAAGGAAGCCUUUGUAAAAUGCCAGAGGUCCCUGCACACACAACUCCUACGUAUUAGCAACCUGCUCCGACUUACUUUGCAUUCAACGGGUAUAUAACUAAAUCAGUGCCUGGGAGCCAGGGAUGUCCAGAAUAUUCACUUCACAGAUAUCACCGAGUAUACCAUUCACAAAGCAUAGCUCAAGAGAUACUUAAGCAAUUUGAUACACACAGUGGAGAACAGUAUCAACAUAUUGUGCAGUGCAGAAUUAAGCUUGACAUGCCAUCAUUAAUUGACAUAAAUAAAGAGUUAAAUGUUAGGAGAUGAAAAUAACAUAACUCCUACAAUGUGCUGUCGCGGACAGAAAGCUGUAUAGGUACACGGUGAUAUAUAAACAACGGAGUUCCCAUGAUGACAUGAUUGCUUGGAUAUAAAAAGGCUGUUGAUCUGUUCAAUUUCAAGAACCACCAGAAGGCUGUCACUAUUUCAUGAUGACAACCUUCAGGCCAGUUAAUUCGAAGAGAGUAUGCAUAAGUGGCCAAUGAAUUAUCUACUCUAAUACCAUACUACAAAUGAAUAUCAAUAUGAAACUGUGAACUGUAUAAGCAAAUGUGUCCUAGAUGCUAGAUGUGUUUGAAAGAAACUGUUAUAUAUAAGUACUCUCAUCUAAUUCUGACUCAAAAGAUAAAAGUCAUGAACAACAGGGUAGAACAUACAUCAUUUUUUAAGGUCUGCACAAAGCAAUCGACAGUACUCUUGUAAGCUGAGUCACCCAUCAUUCUUGACUUAACCUGCAGGAAGGUGUGUUCAAAGGUUGUGUUACCCCAACAGUGUAAAGAGAAACCAUGUUUGCACAUCUACAAUGCAAGAAUUCAACAGUACAGAAUACUUAAUUGAUAAUGACCAGACAGCAACGAAGAAGCUUCUAAUUGCACAAAGAAAGACGAACAUCCAGGUUUCAUAGAAAAACAGUCUUUAUGCAGGCAAAUUAGCAUUCAGUAGUCAUGGAUGCAACCACUAAAGUCAAAGGCAAAAAUCUGCAGAACGGCAGAACUACAAACCACACAAAGACAGAACGGCAGAACUACAAACCAUUGUUGAGUUACUCCAACAGUGUAAAGAGAAACCAUGCUUGCAUAUCUAUAAUGCAAGAAUUCAAUAGUACAGAAGACUUAAUUGUCGAUGACAAGACAACAAGGAAGAAGCUUCUAAUUGUAAAAAGAAAGACCAGGAUCCAGGUUUCAUGGAAAAACAGCCUUUAUGCAGGCAAAUUAGCAUUCAGUAGUCAUGGAUGCAACCAUUAAAGUCAAAGGCAAAAAUCUGCAGAACGGCAGAACUAUAAACCACACAAAGACCGGACUAAGAAAACAGCUAUGCGGAAAGACAAUGAAUACGUCAUGAAAUUGCAAGAUGUGAUGGGCAGAAUAAAGGCCUGUAGUGAAAUAUCUUAGUUUAAACUUGGAAUGGUCUACUAUUCACCAUCACAUACCACCAUUGCUGAUAUAAACUACUUGGUUUACUACCGAGUGGAUGAAUACACCAACAAAGCAUGGCUCAGAAGAAGUCAUUUACAGCUGGUCAUCUGGGUAAUAAUGUUUCAGACUAGAUCACUACAGUAGGGAUAGGAUAAUUGCUCACUGAGCAGAGCAGGGAGGACAUCUCACCACAUCGACUGGAGAACCAACACAAACAGCAAAGAAGCCAGCGCCCAAACCAGACAAGAUAUGAGUCACCACAUCAUCUUUGAACCCAGGAAGUUUCAGAAUGGUCUGCAACAAUAAGCGACGCAGUUUACGUCAGCAAGAGAGACAAGGAACCAACCAAUAAGAGACAUCAUGACAAGAAGCACACCUGCUUCACUUGAUCAUAGCUGGCCAACUCGGCAGCGUUGAUGAUGGCGUUACGUGCGACGUUCGGACCUAUGCCAGUCCACAAAGCGGCAACCCCUUCCUAAAGUAAAGACGACACAGUCAAACAUACAUAUAGAUGUUGAAGCAAGCAAUUCAGGAAAGUGUAACAGCAAUCCAGCAGUUGGCUAGAGCAGAAGGCAACAGACCUGCCUAACAAUCUUGGCGUAAGCAUCCAUUGCCCCAGCGUAGCGGCGCGGCAUGCCGGGCGCGAGCUUCCCCUCGGACUGAAGCCUGACCUUGACGAGGUCAGUGGGGUUGGCCACAGCGAUUGCAAGGGCACCUGAUGAACAAGAAGAAAAGCACGGAUGUCAGUGAUUAUGCUGCAUUGCAGUUGGAAGGAAGAAUUGGCUUGAUCGAGGGAUGGGGUAAGGUAAGCAACCAGUGGUGAAGCCAGCAGCGAUCUUCUUGGACAAGGGCACAUCCCCGACAUGGUUUUCCCCAACGUAGAAGGACUUGACCUGAAAGGAAGGGAAGCAAAGUCGGUCGCUGUCAGGCAGAGUUGAUUGUCUGGUAGCAGCAGCUAGAAUGGGAACGAGAUAGAGACAAGGGGGUUGGGGAAGAAGGGGAAGGAACGUACGGGCUCGUAGAGACCGAUGCGGAGGCCGCCGUAGAUGCACUGGCGGUGGAGGCCGGGUACGAUGCCCUUCCAGAGCGCGGCGGCCCCUUCCUCCCUGGCGAUGGUGGCGGCGGUGCCGAGCAGGCCGCGGUACUUGAGCCCCCCCGCGACGUCCCCCGCCACGGCCUUCUUCUGCAGCUGCAGCCUGACCUUGGCCGUGUCCAGCGGGAUGGUGGUGAUCUGGGCACACCAGGGAGAAAUCCCCGUGAGAUUCGGAAAUCCGAGCAAGGCAGGGAGAAGAAGAAGGAAGAAGGAGAUCCGGCGGCUGGUUGGGGUUUAGGGUUGGUACCUCGGCGAAGCAGGCGGCGAUGGCGCUGGCGGUGAAUCGGCCGGCGAAGGAGAUGUCGGGCUUGGAGCCGUGGUCCGGCGCCAUGGCUUCGGCUUUGCCUGGCGGUGGCAGCAAGCGAGAGGAAGACGGCGAUCAACUCGGACAGGGACAAGGAAGGCAGGGAGAGAGAGAGAGGAGAAUGGGGGGAAGAAGAAUCAAACCUCAAGGAAGGAAGAAAAGAAAAAGAAGAAAGCAGAGCAGCUUUCCUUUUGCGUUUGCGUUUGCGUUUGCUCUCCACGAAUUCUGGGCUGGCUUCUCUGCCUCUGGCUUGUGCUUAUUAAUUACCUGCAGCAGAGAGCAGAUUUACGGGCGAUUUUAUUCUGAUUAAGGAUCGAUGCGAUGAGUCAGAUGCGCAUCACCUUCUCAAUCCAUCCAUCCACUAGCCUGCCUGGCUGACUACUUACUACUAGCACAAUUUCCCUUCCUUUGAACUCUGCUGCUGAUGAUGAUGAUGUUGAUCAAUCCAUCCUGAGUCCUGAGUUCCUGAUUCAACGGUCUCCUCUGCAGCAGGCCUGCUGCUCCUUUCGUUGCCCUCUUUUUGCAACAAAGAGUUGAACACCUUUUGUUCAGAAACAGAAAAUCUUAAAACCUGAAACACAGUUCAUUUAGAUAUUGCUCUUCUUCUUUUUGGGGGUAGAGGCAGAACAAGAUUUUCAGGGGUUUUUUCUUUCUUCCAAACUAGCUAGCUAGCUAGCUAGUAGUAGUAGUAGUAGUAGUAGUUUUCUUCGUACAGACAAAGAGAUUGGCACCUUGGAAGCAAAUCAGGCAGUGCUUUUUGGCACAUGAUUUGGAGGGGGUGGUACAGGCAUGUCAUCCAAUUCCAAUUCAUUUGGUGCUACCUACUUGGCAGAAUAAAGGGGAGUGCAUAUGCUGCUAGCUGAUUUUGCUGCUGAAUUUCACUAUAUCUGUCCACCACAAAUUAAAAGGGCCCUACCACUCUUCUAGGGAGCUAUAUUCACUUAGCUGGUAACAAACUAAAGGUUUGUUCAAAUUGUUGUAAGUAAUAUUCUAAAUGCCACUUUUUUUUUCUUAAAAGCGUUGGUGAUAUUGAAACGUUGAUGGGCUAGUUACUGCUGAGAGAGAAUGCAUUAUGUUUCAUGGGCUGGACCAUUCUUUCUUUUCCUUCGUAUAGUGCUGAGGUAGGGGGGUUUUUUUGACAGGCAAGAGGGAGGGAUUUUUUUAUUUUUUUUUGAAAUGCAAGAGGGAGGGAUUUGUUACAUUGUUGUAAUCUGCAAAAUGAAAAAAAAAUGUUCCUCUAUUUCUUCUCUAUUUUUUUUGAGAAAUUCCGCUCUUUCUUCUUAAAAAGCUGCUGGUGAUACUGAAACAUUGAUGGGCUAGUUAGUGGUGAGAGAGAAUGCAUUAUGUUCAUGGGCUGGACCAUUACUUCUUUUCCUAGCAAGCCUGGCCCAUUCAUUCUCGCAGACAAUAACCUGUUUUCUUUUGACCAUCCAAAGUUCUACUUUUGGUAAAGCAAAUGUGGACCUUUGAAACUGGAGCACCAUCCUGCGUCACCGAAUAUUCCCUUCACUGGCCCAUGCCCAACACUUGGAACAUAAACUUUUGCACUCAGUUCCAUAUCAGCAAUCCUCAAUUCAUUCCGUUUCACCGUCAAAGCCUAGAUUCAGCUAAACAGUUCAGUAGCAGCUAUCAGUAUUACACUAGCAGGGCGUAACGCUGUCUGGCCGGCUAGCUAUUGUUGUCGCCGCUAAUAACACAGUACAGAUGAUUAAUUAAUAAAAACUGCAGAAACCAAAGGACCAGCUAGCUAGCUAAUCAUAUAGCUGCACACACACACGCACACAUACGGAUGCACCACCACACAGAAGAGAACAGAGCAGUUCAAUUUGUUGGUCACUGAUCCUGGAUCUGCCAUCAGUCAGAAAACUCAGAUAAACCUCAGUAGAUCUAGAUCAGACAUCGGCAAAGAGAUGGUACGUCUUGGAGUCGACGGCGAUGAGCCUGAGCGCGGCGAUGGCGGCGGCGACGGCCAAGACAGUGAACCCGACGACGUUGAACCAGUGCCAUGCCUUCCUCAGCGACGAGAGCCUGUGCCCGUUGGCCACCAGGUACAUGUGGUUGGCCAGCACGAAGGUCAGCGGGAACGUGCUGAGCGCCCCGGUCAGGCUCAUGAAGUCCCCCAGGAACGGCAGCGCCGCGGCCACCAGCGUGUUCACGGCCAGAUAGCCUCCCCUGACGCCCACCCUGAACACCACGUUGUGCGCCGCGAAGGGACCGCCCCGCCCGCUCCCAAACCUCGUGUCCAGGUACUCGUACAUCGGCGACGCAAAGAUCUGCACAUCGAAGAACAUAGAAACAUGAUCUGGUGAACUGGUUCUGUGCAUGAAACUCUUUACUUUUACUGGAAAAAAAAACUUGUAACAACAUGUGUAUAGAUACUUACGUGUAGGGCGAUGACGGUCUGGAGGAAGGCGGCGAGGUUGGCGACGGCCUUGACCCAGACAGGGCCAUGAACACUGUUGAGCAGAUAGCUGGACGUCUCGUUCCCAUAAGCCCAGUACCCAAUGAAAAUCACGGCAUACAACGGCACGGAACCGGCCGUGAACUGCAACCACAGCGCCUUCUCCAUGUUCUUCACCACAGGCGGCUUGAUCGUCGCCUGGAUCUCCGGCAACAUCCCGGUGUUAUACGCAAACACCAAGCUCGCCGAGGCCCCGAUCGUCGUGAACACCCGGCUCGACGGGUCCCCGGGGAUACUAUAAUCCCUCGCCGGCGCCCGGGCCCCGUCCCUCAACGCCAGCACGCACGCCGCCACGAUGUAGAUCAAGCUGAAGGCCGUCGAGAAGAGCAGCCAGACACGGAGCGCCGAGAGGUAAGGGAUGCCGACGGCGAAGAGCGUGCACACGAAGCCGGAAAUGACGAUGCAGUAAGGGAGCUUCAGGGCGCCGUCGUCGCGGAUGAGGAGGUAGAGGGCCUUGAGUGCCUGGCCGGCGAGGAUGACGAAGCCGAUGUUGAUCAUGAAGAGGUUGACGUACUGCAUCGCCCAGGUGACGCGGUACAUCCUGGCGCCGUAGAUGUGGCCGGCGAGGUCCCGGUACCGGAUGUGCCGCUUGCCGCCCAGGAGGUGGAGCUUGGCGAGGAGCGCGUUGGCGUACAUGGAGACUCCGGCGGCGAUGAGGAGCCCGAUGGCGCCGCCGAUCCAGCCCAGGGGCACCAUGAGGGAGCCGGAGUAGCCCAGCACGUAGGCGCUGUUCACCCCCGUCGUCAGCACGAACCCUGCCUGGUACCAUGGAUCUGUGAUAUGUUCAUCAUCGUCAGUUAGUUCAUCAAGCAGAUUGUUAAGCCAUGGAGAAUUCAUCCAGAUUGAAUCAAGUUAAGCCAUCCUAAUUUUUUCUUUUUCAGUUCAUCAAGCGAUUAGCAUGUCAAGUGGUCCAAAAUCUUGUUAGGUACAGUACUGUGCGAAAAUCUGCAUCAACGACUGACGUGACACGUGCACCAUCCUCCCCUGCUUAAUUAACAUGUGCUGCCUGGAGUAUCACUUAGUAGUGGGUUUAGUAGUACACACAAAAAAAAAGGAUUAAAGGAGUAGUACUAGUCCUAGAUACAACCUGGCUGAUGUGCUGUCAGUGAACAUGAAGUAUGUACUUUGGCUCCACACGGAAAGACAAAAUAGGUAUGUAUAUGUUGGCAGUAUGUAUCGUCGUCGGUCAAACCAGCUAAGCUAGCGGCCCAAAAACAGAGACGUUGGGGGUGACGCAAUGGUAACGGAAAGCCUAGGAAGCGUAUGGAUACAAUGGUUACGGCUCAAAUGAUUAGAAAUAUCCAAGAAAAAGAUGAAGAGAUUAUGAGCUCUCCUACGUCAUGGUGGCUCAUAGAUAGGAAGAUAAGUAGAUUGGUGGGUUCUCUAUGACUUGACCAACCUAAAAUUGAUGCACGGAUGGAUGGAUAAAGACGAUGGGGAUUAACAAAGAAGAACAGGAGACCAUGGUCGCCCUAAUUUCUUUUCAGAGGAAUUGAACAAGAAAGCAAGGAAGAAAGAAAGAACAAUCAGAUAGACUGAGAACACUGAUGAAUUAAGUAAUCAAUCAUCUGCAGCGUUUUGUAGGACGGACGGACGGACGUACCGACGCCAAUUUGGUGUGUGGUGUCAUCGGCGGAGAGAGGCAAGUCCUCCUCGUUCUUGGCGACGCCGUCUUCCACCAUGAACACCUUCGUCUCCGGCACCGGCUCCGGUGCCGUCAUGGCCAUGGCUAAUUACCUUAACAAGCAAGGAAUUGAGAUGGAACCGGAAUGGAAUUGAGUAGAGGUAGCAGGGCAGGGCAGGGCAGGGGAGAGCAGAGGGAGGAUGGGCAGAGGGGAGUUGAGGUGUGUUGUUAUUUAUAGGAGGAGAUGAUGGAGGACUGCGUGGUUUGGCAUGGCCGCCGACGACUAUAUCAAAUUAUUUAUUACAUUCCAUACAUGCGUGCGUCAUGUUUAUUUUUUUUUAUUAAAUAGUUACUCCAUGGCUAGCAGCUAGCCAGCUACUUCCACUUUUUCAUGCACAGGCAUUUUGAGGUUAAACUAAUUUUGAUCAACGAUAAGACCAAUGAUAUAUAUGUAGAGUCAAUGUUAUAAAUUUUAUAUCGUUGGAAAUGUUUUUCAAAUACGAAUCUAAUAAUAUAAGUUUUGUAAUACUUAAACCUCAAAACGUUAGUCUAAUUGUUGGUUAAAAUAAAAUUUUGAAUGUCUGUGUCAUCCUUUGUGGAAAGGAGAAAGUCAUUAAUUAUUACUCCCUCUGUUACUAAUUAAUAGGCGUCAGAAAUUUCGCAAAAGAACCUUUGCUAUUUUCCAAAAUCGACCUGCAGUCCAGUCCACGUUCUACCAAAACUUUUGCAAAAAAAUCACUGUAGUUUUUCAAAAUCAACUGCAGGUUGAUUUGGUAAAUUAGUAGAAUUUUUUUUGCAAAAAAUGAUUAGCAUCAAUUAAUUGGGAACGGAGGGAGUAUUUUUCUGGCUAGCCAGCUAAUGGAGUAUUAAUAAGCUUUUUUAUGUCUUGAUUUCAAUCACGUUUUCUUUUCUCCACGCGCACCGGAAUAAUAUAAAGAAAUUCACUGCUCCUUUUCCUCCCAUAAUCAGUCGCGAUCAGACGAAAAAAGAAAGCAAAAGAAAUACACUAGUACUGCUUGUAUAUGUACGAGAGAGACGCGCACUACUACUGGAGAGUAGUAGGACGCACUUGAAAUUGCAAUGCAGAGGAUCGAAGCCAGCAGCUCCAAGUACUGCCAGCCACCCCAACUGCAGUCCAAAAAUCAAGAAAGAAACAAAAACCAACAAACCGACUCUCUGCUCAUCCAUUGACCAGAAACAAUGCACUCUCUCUCCUUUUUUUUCUUUCAUUCUUGGGAGAAAAACAAAAUGAAGCUCUUAUCUUCAGGCUACUAGUAAGUCAGGGGAAAAUGGAAAGAAAAAGCAGAGCACACACAUGCAUAUGUAUCAUAUACGGCGUGUGUGUUAAUUAUUGUAUCAUAUACGGCGUGUGUGUUAAUUAUUGUACAUAUACGGCUGUAUAUACAGGCUAGGAAAAGAAUUAAAGCACAAUUUGUCUUGGGCCUCCAAUUCGAUUGGCUGGCCGGCCUCCGUCACGUCAUGUUCACGCAUCAACUUGCAGCAACAAGCAAUGUAUACAGUGAUAUAUAUAUAUCUGGAAUAUAAUGGCCAUGCUUCCAUCGAAUCCUAUAUGAUGAUGAGCUAGCCUAACUCUCAAUGAUUGAUUGAGAUUAAUAUUAUUCCGAACAAUAUAUCAAACUCGAUGCAUGAUUAAUAUUCCGAUCCAUGCAUGCACGCGAGAGCCUACCUAGCUAGCGGUACAUAUAAAAAGAGAGAAAUAUUCCGUUUUAUUCUUCAGAAAGUCGUACAAAGAAAAAGGUACACUAUAGACUAUAGUCUUUUACUUAUAUUAUAACGUGAGCGACUGGACUUUGCAUGUGUGCACACUGUACAGCUGCUACGUAGUAGCCCGAUUAUAUCGCUCUAAAGGUUUGGGAAUAAUCUCUUCUCCAUCUAAAGCUUUCCAAAGGAUUCGAAAAGGUGCAGAAGAAAGAUACUCCGUAUUAAACCUAACUUGCAAGAUGGGGAUGGGACUCACCAUUGCAUAAUUGUGAACUACAAAAUGGGCAGGCCGGCCCAUCAAAAUGCUCUAGCUAGAGGCAUUUUUAUGGGGUUAAUAAGUUAAAUAAUUUAAUUUACCCCGUAAAAUUUAUUUACCCAUUUUUUCUGGGGUAAAUAAAUUAAAUUAAGAUAAGAUAAGAAUGUAGUACCUAUAUAUACUCACUCCAUUCCUUAAUAUACGAUAUAUUAAGUUUUAAGACAAGGCUGUCCAUGUAUACUGCAUCCCAAAGUUUCGACGUUAUUGUGCGUGUCAGUGAGACGAUUUCCCACUUUCUGGUCACGUUCUCAUGUCGCCCAUUUCCCACGCAUCCCACAAGCUACCACAUACAUAUUCACAGGUAGAGAUACUACAAGCUAGCUAGUGAUCUCAUUCCACACAUAUUUAGUCUCAAUCGGUCACAUGAACAAUUGAUCGACGAUGGAGAUGCGCACGAUAAAAAGCCCUCCCCAAAGUGUUGAGUAGUGCCUUUUGUCCAUUCCACAAUUGCGGGCAGGCGCGCCAUGCAUUCGCGGACAUGCAUUGCAUGCACACACACACUACUGAACGACCAACCAACAACCUAGCGCAACCCAAUAUAUCUGCAUAUCUUAUUAUCACAUUGACUGGACUGCCCGACUAGGCUACUGAUUAGCUCUCUACUCAUUCCGUUUCAAAAACUAAGGCAGAUGACCUUUGUUGGCACAAAGUAAUUUGACCAAGUUUUGGCAAAAGAUAUUAACAUGAUGCCGUACUGUACAAGAUCAGUACACUACGAAAACGCAUUUCAUGAAAGAUCUGUUAUCGGUCCUAUAUAUUUUUCUGUUUGUGUUGUAAGUAAGAUUGGUCAAACUUUAGAAAAUUUGAUAUCGGAUGAAAUAAAAACUGGUGGAGAGAAAUUGUUUAGAAGAAGAAAACAAAUUAAUGAAGCUAGCCUCAUUUAGACUUAUAUAUACUUUUUCCGUCUGAUAUUAACUGAUUUGAAUUUGCCCAUCUAAUAUUUGGGCACUUAAUAUAUAAGUUUGCAUGAUGGAUCGUAGGAGUAGGUUUCUUUGUCUCUGUCGUUGUCUUUGUCUCUGGCUAGCUCGCAUGUGCGCCCAUACUCAGCGGUCAUCAAACGUGACUCAUGAGUGUACAUGUUAUUUCUUCCCUCUGGAACGUGCUUUGCUUCAGUAGAUUAUUAGAUUAGACCGUGCUGUCGAUUUUUGUCGUCCAUUCACUCAAUCCUUAAUUAAUCAUCACCGGGGCUAUAUACAAGUAGACAGGGGAAAACAUGCACGGAAUCGAUCUUCGGUACCAAAUGGAAGGAAGAAACGUGUUUAAUUUGUAAGCCCGAAUGCUAAAGCCCAACGACCACUACUAUAGCUAGUUUGACGCGACGGCGACAACUGGUAGGCCCAACCCACGACAUGGAAGCCCAUGCACCACAUACACACAAAAACAGGAUGGGUAUUUUCCAACCGUCCAUCUUGACUUGGAGCCCCGACACAUGCCAUAGGAGAUAUAAGCGACAAUUAGCCGGAAUUAUUUCUUUUUAACAAAUCAAUCGUUGGAAUGAUUUUUAUAUAAAAUAAGUUCCAAAAGAAGCUAACUUGAUAUAUCGGUCCAUUGAUCUCUCAUCUUACCUUUUCAAAGAUACAUCAUCCAAACGGCUCAAGCAUUUUUUGUAUCAGAUAGACAUUUAACACCUUUCGGUGCUGCAAGGGAACGCAACCUAGCUAGCUGGCCAGGGGAGAUGCAAGCCGGACUCAUGGACAAUCACACAAUGGUGGCAAUGGCAUCGUAUAGACAGAUUGUUGUCAUCUAGCUAGCUAGAUAGUGAUCGCUGUCCAUAAUUCUUGUCUUAAAUUUGUUAAAAAAAUAGAUGUAUCUGUUUUCAAAAAACUCUAUAUACAUGUAACAUUCUGAUAAGAACUAUCGAACGGAAGAGGUACGUAAUACAAGAUAUAAUAUACUCUUCUUGUUUUUAAAUUCUUGUUGUUGUUUUAAUUCAAAUUGAAACUUAAUAACCAUCGAUAAAUCGAGACGAAGACGAGAGGCACAUACCAGCUCCAAUCUGGUGCGAGGUACCAUCGGCGACAACAGGCUGCAGAUUGUCCUCUGCAUCUUCCCCAUCGUUCUUGUUCUUGGUGACGCCGUCCAACACGGUCACCUUCGUCUCCGGCGCCGGCGUGGCCAUGGCGAUCCUUCUAUCUGGCUGCCAAGAAAGGUAGCUUGGGAUAUAUCGAUCGAAAUGGAGUUUGGAUUUGGAGAGAGCAGAGCAGACCGCCGGUGAGAAAGAGGAGCCAGCCAAGGAGAGAGUCGUCUUCUUAUAGGCUGUACAUGUGGAGUCAUCGAUACUAGACUGUAGAUGACUACUGAUUUUUUUUUGGGUCGCCCUUGUCGUCGUCAACAAAUCAUAUCAAUUAAUUUAUUUUUAUUUUGUUUCCAUAUGUCUGCCAACUCAUUUAAUUAUUACUACUACACUUAUUUCUAAGACUAGCCAGACACGUUUUCUUUUCUCCACAUACGUACAUUCCAUUACAACACACCUGGCUAGCUAGCUACUCCAGGUGGAAUGGAAGGGAAUUAAUGAAGACUGCGUUCGUUAUUUUUGGGUUUUAGGACCGCCUUUUCUUAAAAGCUGUUCUAACCUAACUUUCAGGAGGAGUCGUAUAUCAGAUUUAGCUAGAUUUUUAAAAUAGUUUAAAUCAAACUAGCUUAGUAGCCUAAUCCAUUUUAGAUGAAGGCAUCUCCAGUAAGCUGUGGAAGGACAAUUUCUCGGAAAAGCCAGUUCAAGAAGCCGAAAAGAACUGACCUGUUAUCAGGUUAUCAGGGAUAGUCUAACACGUAAAAUUCGCCGCUGCAUGCUUUUUGAUCCGAUAAUAUAAUUGGUCUCAGUCAGAUGGAAAGGAAUCAAAGACGAAGUGAACUACUAUAGUAGUAUAGUGGUACUGUGAGAGAGAUGCGCACUUGAAAUUUGUCCGGCGGCUUUGAUCAGAUAUGCAGAGUCGUACGCUCCUAAAAGGGAGAGGAUCAACAUAAGAUCAGCCUCUAAUCGUGACGGCUUUGAUUCCAUUCCUGGCAACGGAUACUGCCACGCAACUGCAAUCCAAACCCAAGAAAGGAACUGCUACUGGCUGGCUACCAGCGGAUUUAGGAAAACAAAAUGAAAAAGAAUGUAUAUUUAGUACUUGUCUCAAUUUUGACUAAAUUUGAAUGCGUAUACACUAAGUUAUGUCUAGAUAUAUUUAAAUUUUGAUAAACUUGAGAUUUCUUUUAUUGAACGGACGAGGUAGUAGGAAUUAAAUUCCUCGGCGACCAAUCAAAAUUCCUUCUACAGUAUAUAUCUCGUUCCUAAUGCUAAUCUCCAAGCUAGCCAGGACGGGAGAAAUGGAAAGGGAUAUAAAACUGGCCGGCGUGUGCACAUGAUUCAACUGCCCGUGUCCAAUUCCAUUCUGUUCUAUAUAUUUACGUGUUAACUACUUAUACAGGGGGGCUUGCUUGCUCUAUCUAUGCAACAUAUACAGGAGUAGCUAGGAGAACACAAUUUUGUCUUUGUGUCUCUAGCUUGUCUGUCCGGGUGUGCGCCGCGCCCAUACCGGCGCCCCUCAUUUUUGUACCUUUUCUGUUUCCUUAGAAAAAAAAACUUGAGAAAUCUUGUAAUCUGAUUUGGGACUGCUUACCUCCCUGGGGAUUUUGGGGGCUACAAAAGCGUGUUGAAACCUUUUGAAAUCAAUAAAUCUCCAUGUGGUUUUCAAAGUUAAAUUCCUUGGAAAGCCUGUCAGGAGUUGUUGAAAUUUAAUUUCCUCGUCAAAAUUUGAGAAGGUUGUCCUAGUUUUUUAAAGCUAUCCAUAUAAAGCUCUACCCAAGAUGAUAAUUUUUUUUCGUUAAUUAACUGGACAACUAUAUUCCUCUUAAUUAAUAGAUGAAGUCCUUCGGUCUCCAGUUUGAAAAAAAUUUGAUAUUUUUCAAGUUCCUAAUUUCAGUGUCCGAAAUCUCAUACGGAUAUAAAGUCGAUGGUAGCUUGUUUUUAAUUUUGUGUAGCCAAGACAAAAAAAUAUCAGCUAUAACUAUAAGUCGGGACCAACUCUUACUCUCCACCCUUCUCCUUCGCUCGGAAAUUAUUAUUUUUCCGAAAAUCCUCCACGGAGCAAGCUGUAAAUCAACAGUAUAUACUUUUUCUUCAAAAUAAUUGUAGCCAUAUUAAUUUCUUGCUAAUUAUAACAAAGAAAAAGUCAUGGAGAAACGCGAAAUGAAUAUUCUGAUGCAUAUGAGUUAGUGGCAAUCCUAUAAGCGUGUAUAUAAAAGGAAUAUAUAUAUAUAUAUAUAUAUAUAUAUAUAUAUAUAUAUAUAUAUAUAUAUAUAUAUAUAAGGAAAAAUCGGAGUUCUCCUUGAGAAGAAAGUGGUGCAAGCUAGAAAAGGUGUGUAUAUACACAUCGGUCCGAAAAGAAGCUUUACAUAUAAAAUUAAGUGUGAGCGUAGAGGACUUUUGCACACAGACGCACUCUAGUCAGUCUUGCACGUAGUACAAGUAGCUUUUAGUGGGAAUCUGCUUUGGAAGAAUUUCAAAAAGCAUCCAUCCGUUCCGGGAAAGAAAUAAAGAAGAAAGAAAGAGUGUGGGACAUGCAGGAGGACUUGCAAAAUGAAAAGGCCUGCUGAUGAUACAAGGCACGUUACACGCUAGAAAACGGGCCAAAUGUAUGCAUGAAUGCUGGCCGCAAUAUGAGUGCACAUACAGAUAAUGUGUCCAUCUCGCGUUAAUUGAUUUUCUGCAUGACAUAGAGAUGGUACAAAAAUGUGUACGAAGGCGGAAGAAAAUUAAAUCAACAGCAAUAUAUUCUCCUCCCGAUCCAUAAUAAUAAAUGUCGCUGAUUUAGUAUAACUUUGUAUAAGUUAAGUUAACGAGGAAAUUUCUGCCUACUGAUCGAUAUAACACUGAUAACGAAAUAGUGAGUAUAUCUACAGAUGCGAUAGACAUGAUCGGUGAGCUAAGGGCAAUUCGGAAUGGGCGGCCGUGGCCGUACGUAUAUAUAGACAGAUCAUAGUCGAUCAGAUCUCUCUGCUCCAGAGAUGAGGAAGAGGGAUUGCAAACGAUGAUAGAAACAUAUAUACAUGAAUGGUUAAUUAAUUGAUGCGCCUUAUAGACGUAUAAUUAGGGAAGGUCGUUAAUUACUUACCGAUGCCAAUCUGGUGGGCGGUCUCAUCGUCCAGGAUGAUCUCAUGGUCGUCCUCCUCCUCCGUCAGGGACGCCAUUAUUAAUCUGAUCUCCUCCUCGAUCUUGAUUAUUUGAAUAGUUUUCCAGAAAGAUUCUCUCUAGCAGGACCUUUGAUUGAUCUCUAUGGGGCGCCGGCUCUCACAACUCAACUCGAUCCCCAUUGAUGCAUCAAGGAUGGAUGCAUUGUUUAAUUUUUCGCGGGUUUGGGUUUGGGAGAGAAAGAAAGAAGAAAAAAAGAUGAAGGAAUGCUGCAAAUGAAAAGGUCCGGGAAUGAAUAUAACCGGUCGUGGACUGGGUCAAGAUCAGGGAUCGAUGGAGAGGCAGAUUCAUAUGCAUGGAUGCAUGAAUUCAUUCAGAGGCCCUGCACUCUCUCUCACUCAGCCGCCCCAGCAUCCGGCCGGACAAGUAGCUAGGCCGGCCUAACCCUACCCUCAUUCAUCGGAGCCUAAGUGUUGUGCACUUACUUAGUUGCAUCACAUUCAUAUAUAUAUGCAUAUAUAAUCGAUCCAUCCAUAAUCCAUCCAUCCAUCCAUCACGUCUUGUUGUCGCCCAUUUCCUACGCAUCCCACGCCACGCCACCACGUGCAUUGCAUAUAUAUACUGAUCAUGACUGUGCUAGCUGAUCUAUAGCAAAAGCCUCUUAAAUCCCAUGUCUACACACACACGCACGCACGCAAUUAAUCAGAUCAGAUCAGAUCAGAUCAGAUCAUCUUAAUCUUAUCCGAGACCCAUCAACUAGCUAGGGGGCUUAGUUACCUUGUUCAUCUUGCAUUGCAUGCAUGUUUCACUAGUCAUAUGUACCUCGCAAAAAUAAUAAUAUUGUGGUGUCUAUUCUGUCCCCUAUCCAAAACCACCACUAAUCCUUACUCCUUUUUCUUUUUUCAUUUCAAACGGCACACCGCAAAACUAGGCCCAACCCACUACAGACCGCCUUGAGGCCCAACCAUAUCCCCCCAGGAGAGACAAGGCCGUUCUUUGGGACUCAGGAGUAUUAUAAGGCUGGGCCGAAAGUAACACCGGAGGCCUGUGAAGAAGCCCAGGCCCAACAGUAAGGCCGAGAAUCGAAGCCCACACGAUCUCUCUCCUUUCUCUUUCUCCUCAUCGGGUUGGGGAAUCGGGGAUUUCUUCUUCCUUCAUCUCUCUCUUCUGUCCUCUCGUCGCAGGAAUCCAAGCUUAGAGAGCUCUUCCCCUUGUCUCGUCGACGGCGAGGUGCAGGCGGGAUUCAUUCAAUCCUCCCAGCCAUGGCAGCGCCGGCGCCGGCGCAGCACAGGGAAGCUGAGGAGGAAGCGGAGGAGAUGGCGGGCGUGGUCAAGCUCAUCAGCGCCGAGGGUUUCGAGUUCUUCGUCGACAAGAAGGCCGCCAUGGUCUCCAACACCCUCAGGAACAUGCUCACCUCCCCUGGUUCGGUCCCUCACCCAUCCUCUCCUCGAUUCGAUUCCUCGUACGAUCCAUUGAUCCGACCGGCCGAUCUUGCUUCGAAGGUGGCUUUGCCGAGACGCGCGAGGGCGAGGUCAGGUUCCCGGAGAUCAGCACCGCCAUCCUCGAGAAGAUCUGCCAGUACUUCUACUGGUCGCUCCACUACUCUAGGUAAGCGAAUCCCUCUGAUUCACCUUUCCCCUCCUCCGCACACCCAGAUUAUUAUCCAUCGAAUAGUUUGUUUUGGGAGGAUCAGAUAGCUUAAUUGCUUAACCUAGCUAGUCCCUGUCAAUAUAUCAACCCCAAUUACAUGAUCUCUCUCUCGGUCACGAAACGAUAAAUUUGGAUGCCUGGGACAUGCACUUGUUUGUCCUUAACCAAAUCAAAAUCAUCCCCCUGAAUUUAUUUACCAAUUUAUCUUCAGAGUGUGCACUUUUGAAACCUUAAUAACAUCUGUAUGGUUAGACUACCAGUCCGUCUGCUAUUCCCCUGCUUAUCUGCUGUUCAUGUUCGCGGCACACUUGUUUUUUUGUUUAAUUUGCUAAAAGCCUAGUGUAUAAAUGUCCAGAAUUAAAGAAGGUGACAUAGAAGUUAUUUUCUCUCUGUGAUAAACUAAGGUCUUAUCUAUGUGAUUCUUUGACUAAGAUGAAGCAAAUCAAAUGUUUAUUAGUUUUCUUGUGAAAAGAAGGGAAUUUCAUUGUUCUAUGCUCUGUUUCAGAUGUUUGAGGAAAAUUCUCAUGUAGCAUUCAUUUAGACUACGAUAUUUAGGGGCGAACAUACUCCAAUGUAUUUCAACUUGCUUCUCCCUUCUAUGGUUCAUUAAACAUGUCCAGUGGUUAGAUCUUAUGAACCUUGGGAAUUUUAUCUUACUAGUUACGAUACUAAACCAGCAUUCAGUCCAUGAUUCUUCCUUACAAUUUCAGUGCUUUGUGGAAUAUAUCACACGACUUUGUAACAACAGAUAUCCAGGUCUUUACCAUCCUGGUAUCCACCUUACGCACACCAUGACUUGUCUUUCCUGUUUGUUUUUACGUUGCUUCUCCAUGCUUUUACCUUUCAUGUUUAGUUAGCAGGUUACUAGCCAUGCAUAUUUCGGAUUUAGAGGUGUUAUUGCUACUCUAAGCUAAAUAUGUCUUCUUGGAUAGUUUUGUGGUGGCAGAGCAAGAAUAUUAACUGUUUGUAACCUCAUGUGUCCUAGUCCUUGAACCUUCCUUAUUGCUUGCUGCUUUGAUGACCAACCUCUCCAUUCACGUGUUUAAUCAAUCAUUUUGAGUGAGAGUCAUUUUUGGUUCUGAAACAAGUGCAGCUGCUAUGCAUCAAUUGUGUGGAGUCACACCUUACACCAGUACACCAAUAAUGACAAACCAGCUACAAAUGCAGCUUCUACACCGAGCAACCAAUGGCAUACUGUCUAUACCACCUUAGCCACUGCUCUACUCCAGCACCAAUUGGAGUGAUCAACAUAUAACUGGACAGUAGUUCAUUCCAGAAACUGCAAGGGAGGGUAGCUUUGGUUUUGUGUUUUCCUUGGUUGUCGUGUUCUGUACUACAGGGUUUCUUCUUUAUAGAGUUGUACUGAGGGGUUCUUUAUAGAGGUAGGGGCUCACCAGAUCCAGAUUUACAUAGCUUGAAGAGAACAUAUUGGUUGACAGUGUUUUUAGGUUGAAGAAAUCACAUGCCAGGAGAAAAUAAAUUGUGCUCCAAUAUCGACCAACAGGCUAACAGUUGCUACUUCUUUUAUAUACAUAUAUAGUUAGUACAGAGAGUCAGAGAAUACAUAAUCCUUGAACUUGGUUCUCUGUUUAAAUCAGGUACUGAAGUAGUAGAUUCCCGUAUUAGAAUGCCUGACAAUUUUGCCACCCUGAAAAUAUGUACGAUUAAUGGACUAUGUAGCAGAAAAUCUACUGUGCGCUAUUAGUUUUGGCAAGGAAAGGAUGGAUUUAGUUGUUGUUGAUGAAAUCUAGCUUUGUUUUGUUUCUUUUGUAGUGGGAAGGAGACGGCCGAGUUCCCGAUCGAGCCAGAAAUAACCCUGGAGCUGAUGAUGGCCGCAAACUAUCUCGACACAUGACGAAUCUAUCCAUCGAUGCAUUUGUGUUUAGUAGAAAGGAAAAUGUGAUGAUGUUGCCUACCUUGUAUAAUUUUGAUUUGGGUCAAGUAAACAAUUAAGCUUGUUUGCGAUGGACACAGCACACGGCAGGUAUCUGUGGUGACUGACUGUCAACUUGCUUGCUCGCGAUCAGAUCUGGUCACUUGUAUGAUCAAUUGGACUGGAUUGGAUUAGGUCGCCAUCAGUUGCAGGGCCACAUGUUGCUUGUUUGUUUCUACUGCAUGCUAUAAGCUCUAGCAGACAGGAUCAGCUGGAAUGCACCUGUGUUGACCAGCCAGCGCAUACUUUGGCAGAACUAAAAGAACUUCAUUAAUUUGCAAAAUGCACGGGGAUUGGAUUGGGUGGCAACGGUUUGUUGGAUCGCCCUGGAGAUAAUGUUUUUUUAGGAAUUUUUAGGUUACAUAUACUUGGUUGGAAGAGAGAAAAUUGCGUUUGAACCUGUAAUGAAAAGGUUAGUAGUGCUUGUGUUUUGUUUUCUCCAAAGCUAAAACUGGUGGGAUAGUCUCUAUCCUAAGAAAUACUUAUGGUGCAACCACAUUGAUCCAAAUGGUAAAGAGAUAUGGACGUUUCCUUGAGGAAGAUUAUGGCUCACGUAUGGGCGUUGAUGUCGAAAGAUGUAUGGAUUGGGAAGAUGAUGUUAGCCCCAUAUGAAUAAACAGAUCCAACUAAACCAUACUCGAAAAAUCAAUUACACGCCAUCAGAUCAAUACCCUCCGUGUCAUCCUAACAUUUAGAUCCACUCUAAAGAAACCCUUAUUCAUCCAUCUUUCCAUAUUACUCUCUCUGUUUGGGUUUACAAGAUCUCUGCGUAUUUCCGUCGGUCAAAUUGAUGAUCUAAGAACGGUCGUGACUUUACAACAGAGAGAUGAAGGGGAAGGGCAGAAGAAGAUGGAUGUAGUAGUACUUUCUUUAGUUUAAGAUUAGUUGGUAAAGAAAGAGAAAGGAAAUGGAUCGGAAACGGAAACCCCACACACACGUGGACGCAUCUAGUCCCCACUCUACACUUUGAUAGUUGAUACAUACACAAACACAAAGCAGGCCAGGACAGAAGGCUUCGAUCCAAGGAGAAGGCAGAGGCUAGGCGGCCAGCGACAAGAAAAGAUUCCUUCUUUUCCCCCAUCCAUCCAACCCCUCCGUCGCCGGCCGGCGGCGAGCCCCCCACAAUGGCGGCCGCUUCCCCCCUCGACUCCGCCUGGGAGGUAUGUGUCCCCACUGAUCUCUUCUCCCAACCGUCUCUAUCUGUGUAUAUCUGACGGACGGAUCUCUGUGUCGCCGUCGCCGGCGACGAAUGCAGUGCCUGAUCGACAACUUCAGCGAGUUCCAGCUCGCCACCGUCGUCACCUUCCUUCUCCACGAGAGCGUCUUCUUCCUCUCCGGCAUCCCCUCCCUCCUCUUCGAGCGCUUCGGACUCUUCGCCAAGUACAAGAUCCAGGUCUGCCCCCCCGCCUGCAUCACACAUCCGUUGAUCUGAUGCAUUUAUGAUCUAUCUGGUCGAAUGUGUGCGUGUAUUGAUUUCGACAACACAAGAAUAAUUUCAUGGUGGAUGGGACAUCAGUCACCGAGAUAGUCAGAGAGGAAACAUAACCAGACCUUUCUCUGACCUAUCAUUGUGGAACUUCGCUUUUUUCUUCUUUCUCUAACGUGACAAGGAUGACAGUGUCAACAAGAAAGGGAGAUGCAUCUAACUUAUCUCAAAACUGACGUGGACCAAAUAAGAGUAGGAAACACUCCUUUUCAAUUUGCUUUCGUUGUCAUGUUUGAGAAACACCUUAUGCCUCCCGUCCAAAUCGAAUUGCCCGCCCCGAGACGACACGGAAAAUAAGGAAUGCGGAAGCACUUGGUCAGAUGGCUCACCUAAACUAAAAAGCUGGUUGCUUUUCACUGGAUGCGAUCAACACUGCUUGAAUCUUUGCAUAUCUCGACCGAUCUGUUAUAUAAAUUCCCGCCCGAGGUGACAAAUCCUUGGAACACAAAAAUGCUUUAAUGCUAACAGACAAAUGUCUAGGCUUGCAAGAAAUACGUGAAGACGUAGAUUUGUUCGAAUCCAGGAUCAAAUCUCUAUUGAGAAAAUCACAUAGUUAUAUGUUGCAGCUACUAGAUAUUAUACUAAUUGGACUACUGCUAUAGGAAACUCACACCACGCUUUCAGUAUUCAAUAUACUAAUUAGAUUACCGCUAAUAGGAAACGCACGCCACACUUUCAAUAAUCAAUAUAAAUGCCCUGCUGCAAAUUUAGAUAAUCUUUACUGUUCUUUUUGGCACUAAGAAAUAAUCCAAAUUGCAGGACCUACCGUGCAUGCUUUUAGAGUAAACCAGUUUUACAGUACAAUUUCUAAGAACAUUAGUUUUUUUUAUUUCUGUAUUAUAUUAUGUAUUGGAGAUAUAUGGUCCUGUUUUCUGUAUAACAUAGCGUACAUUUUCGUUGGAGUAAAUUUAUCCCAACAAGCUGAUUCUGGGUAUCAUCGAGUCAAUCUGAGCCUCCAUUUGCUUGUUUGGAGCAUGAAAUGUUUCUUGUCAGUGCCUUGUUUUUCUCUUUCUUUAUAAAGUAAAUCAUCCAUGUGAUUCUGUAAGAGAUCUUGUAAUGCUUAAGUUUGGUUUCAGUAAUGGAAGCAGUUUAUCCUCCUGGCUCUUAAAGAACAGACAUGUGAAUGGUCUUGUCCCAUUUUACCAUGCGCACCUUGCAAUUGUAUUACUCGAAUGGUUUGUGGCGCUUAUGCCAUGCUCUGGGUCUUGUUAUUGAUGUCCAUGUUAUCGAAUUUACUUUACUCCGAGCGAUCUAUCUCGUAGUGCUUGUUAUCGAUUUUGCUCCCAAUUCCUAGUUUUCUACUUUCCAGUGCGUGCCAGUUUAAUUUGCUCUUUAUUAUUUUCUGUUGUGAAAUAUUUGGUUCACUGGAACUAUUUAAUUCGGUGAAUAUUUGUGCGUACCUUGCUGCCAGCCUGCGAUACUUGGUUUCCUAAACAAGAAGUGUGCACAUAUUUGCAGAAGAAGAGCAACGCCCCUGCUUACCAGAACAGAUGUGUGCUGCGUCUCAUUCUAUACCAUGUCGGUGUGAAUUUGCCAGUCAUGAUUUUCUCCUAUCCCGCCUUUAAAUUCAUGGGGCUGAGAAGCUCUCUUCCUCUGCCACACUGGUAUUAAAUUUAAUUCCCUCUUUCUUCCUUUCAACAAAAGUAUCCCACCUACCAGUAUUCUUUCUUCUCAUCUAAGAAUGUCUCUUGAGGCAGAAGGAUAACCGAAAUGAAAGUUGUCUAAUCGCUAAUGCUAUCUAUGUGGCUAUGUUGAUGCAGGACGGUCAUUGUAUCUCAAAUUCUUUUCUAUUUUGUACUUGAGGAUUUCAUAUUCUAUUGGGGGCACAGGGCUCUGCAUACCAAAUGGCUAUACAAGCAUGUCCACAGUGUCCACCACGAGUAAGUGAUACUGCUUCACAACCUCUUAUUUUGACAUGCUAUAUCAGCUUGGGAUCAUUCUAAUUUUUAACACGAUAACCUGUGAGCAGAUAUGCUACACCAUUCGGCUUAACUUCGGAAUAUGCGCACCCUGCUGAAAUUUUGUUCCUGGGAUUCGCCACGAUUGUUGGCCCUGCCCUGACUGGCCCUCAUUUGAUCACUCUAUGGCUGUGGAUGGUGUUGAGGGUGUUGGAAACAGUUGAAGCUCACAGUGGGUAUCACUUCCCAUGGAGCCCAUCGAAUUUCCUUCCACUGUAUGGAGGGUAAGUGAGCGAGAAUUCGGAAAGGUGCAUUUUGUCCAUUCAGUAGGUUGCAUAUAACAGUGUUCUGAAUUUCUCCUUAUGGCCAGCUCUGACUUCCAUGACUACCAUCACCGUGUUCUCUUCACCAAGUCAGGAAACUAUGCGUCUACUUUUGUUUACAUGGACUGGUGAGUAUGUUUGUCUUCCAUUGUUGUGUUAUUUGUUGAACCAUGGCUUCUGCUAUGCAUGACAUGCAUCUCCUUCCUUCUUCUUGUGCUAGGUUGUUUGGCACGGAUAAAGGUUACCGCAAGAUAAAGGCCAUCGAAGGGGAAGAAGGGAAGCAUUUGUAAAUUGUGGAAGCUACUCUUUUCUCUCUUAGUCGACUUAUCGAAGCUAGUUUUUGAUCUGUUGUAUUGGUGAUAACAUUGCUCUGAUGGGACGAGACUGGCGGCAUCUUGAUCCAAGGCACAGGCAUCAUUUGAGGCCAUGGAUCCUACAUGUCGUGUCUUUCUUUCUCCCAUAUUUGCUAUCAUGAUAAGAUCAUGUAAUUUGUGGUGAAUUAAAUCUUUUGUGUGCUACUGGGGUUUGUUUGGAGACGUGGAUACACAUCCCAGAGCACAAGUACCUAUUUGAAGCAGCAACAACUUAUCAGAUUAGUUUUGCAAGUCAAGUAAAUAACUGAGAUGUGAUUUGUUGGUUAUGAGUACUGUUUAGUUGUGCCUCUCUUUUUUCUGUCACUUUCCCUUGUAAAUUCAUAUGGCAUUGAUUGCACCUUUCAAAGGAUGCAGAUGAAUACUGACCAUUGCCAUCAUUUUGAAGCACCUGAAUCUGACUGAAGAACAAAACAUGGUCUGCAUUGCAUUGCAGCUAGGGACAUCUGAUACAACAUCUGUUUACUUCAUAUAUGUUUGCUUUUCUCAUAGCUUGGCUGCUAUGGUGCGUCCGCCGUCGACGCAGAUGACCUGGCCGGUGAUGUAUCCGGCGCCGGGCAUGCAGAGGAAGGCGACGAGGGCGGCGACCUCAUGGGGCUUGCAGAAGCGGCGCAUGGGCACCCUUGCCGUCUCCAUCUCGGCGAGCCUCCGUGCCAUGUCCGGGUCUGUGGCGAGCGUGUUGGCGGAGAACUCGGUUUCGACGCCGCCAGGGGCGACGCAGUUGACACGGAUGCCUUGCGCCGCCCACUCUGCAGCGAGGCUCCUGGAGAGCUGGUGCAUUCCCCCCUUGGUGAGUGAGUAGACGGAGAGCGCCGGGUAGGCGAUGAAGCCGGUGACGGAGGACAUGUAGACGACCGAGGACGCCUUGGCAUGCCGGAGCAGCGGGUGCGCGAGCUGGGCGAGGUGGAAGCAGGGGUCGAGGUUGAUGGCCAUGAGGCGGGCGUAAUCGUCCGGCGUGGUUUCGGCGGCGGGCUUGUAGAGUGACUGGCCGGCGUUGUUGACGAGGAUGUGGAGGUCGCCGUGGAAGAGGCCGCGGACGGUGUCGACGAGGCUCUCCCUGUCUGCGCGAACCGAGACGUCGCAGACGGAGGCGGUGAUGUGGUGGAGGCCCUUGCUCUGCCAUUGCCGGCGGCAUCGGUCAAGGUCGGCGGCGUUGCGAGAGCAGGUGUGCACCCUGGCACCGAGGGCAGCUAGCUCCUCGACGAUGGCGUGGCCGAUCCCUUUGGUUCCUCCGGUGACCAGCGCCGUCUUGCCGGCCAGGCUCCACCGGAGCUUCUCUGAAGAAUCAUCCCUUGCCAUCGGUAUCAGCUAUAAUCAAGAUGGUUUUGGGUUCAGUCCACCUCCAGCAGCUAUGCAUGGUGGCUAAGCUAUAUACUCUGUUUGUGUGAUUGUCUUGUUGCAGAGCAUAUGCUUACCUAGGUAAGUUACUAUAGUUAGUUAGUAUUGGAUUCGCCACCCAACGUAUUUACACAGACAAGGAACAUAGAUAAUUUCUAGGCAGGGAUGGGUCCUUUUUGCUUUUAGUCUUCUGUUUGCUGGCCGAUGAAAUCUUUAAUUAAGAGUGUGCAUGCUUGUUGGUGAACGUCUAAGUUUGUAUUUCUUUCGAACAAAGAAAAAUAAGCCGCUCUACAAGAAAGUACUAUCAUUUUCGGUGCUGCGUACACACAGGAGAAAUUAAAAGAUAUUAACAUCUACUAUACCAAAUCAAUAACUAACUAAUUGUCUUGCUAGCUAUACAAUUUCUCUCAUAUUUAGGGUGUACUAAGCACAUAGAGAUGCAGAUGCUAGCAGCUCAAAGUCCCGUAAAAAAUUAAAAAAAAUCAAUAACUAAGCAGCUUUUUUAGCUUAUAGCCAAGGCCACAUGCAUACAAAUGACCAAGCAUCAGCAUCUGCGCUUGUUUUACGGAGUACACUUUCAUAGAUGCAUCAUGUGGGGCCAUAGAGAUAAACGUCCAUGCUGGCGCUUAAUUUGUCCAUUAAUUAUUAAUCAUUACUGUACAUGAAAUGGAACUGCCACAUUUCCAGCACAUGCAUGCAGAUCAGCCAGGCAGGCUAAUAACACAUGGCACAUGGGCAUGGAAUAAGAAUAAUUCGAUUCAAAACAGUAACACACGACAUAUAUGCCCCUGCCCCGGCCACAGUGCAAUGCUCUGCUUUUUUGGCCUUAUAUAUAGGCAACAGCUCCAUCUUGAUCCUUAAUUUGUCAUGUCCACAUUAAUUUGAGGGAGAGCAGUUGGGCUUGGGAUGGGCGAGCACGCUGGGAGUAAGAAGAGGCUUUGUUGGGCCGCCAACCGUGCAUGGUAGUAGGCAUUAUUCAUAUGGAUCAGUGUAGAGCCUGGCCAAUCAUGCAGGCGGAAGGAGGCCCAAUUGGGUUGUUUUCCUUUUCAAUGUCAACAUUAGAUCACCUGAAUGCCCUCAAAAAAAAAAAGAUCACCUGAAACCAAUGCGGUCUUCUUCAUCUAAAAAAAUAAAAUAAAAUGCGGUCUCAUUACCAGGCUUGGUAUGACUGAAACAGUCCAUGCAAGGAUACAGGCAGCUCAGUCCUCCAGGUUCCUCAAUCAAGCAGGCCGCUUGCUGCCUGUUAACUCAGGUUUUACUUCCUUUACCAACAUAAUACUAUGUGUACCAUACAGUUGCCCACAUGGGUCAUUGAGCAAAUUGACAGGCAAGGAAAGGUUGUCCCAGGAGAGGCCAAGAUGUAAGCAAAAAGAUGGAAACCUUGCAGCAAGGGACAUGGUAUGGAGGCUCGAAAGUAAUUAAUCUGAGAUUGCACAACAAUGCUCUUCUCCGUACACAAGUGCACAAAUUGCUGGAUGUUGACCAAACUUGCAUAACUUCCUAGUAAAUAAAAAUAUAUAUUAUGCAACCAAGGCAGGGCCGCACUGAACCAAAGCAUGAUACUACAAGUAGUACAUGUACAUUACAACUCCACCGGAUGAUAGGGGGCACAUGAACAUACUGAAAGAACGACCGAAAAAUAUAUCCGCUUUACAAAUGAAUUAGGAACAAUAAUGAAUGUACAAAAUUCUUGCAACACUUUCACUGCACGCUACAACGAAGCACUUUCAAUUCAGAUAAUACAAUCAAUAAGUGGAUUCCAAAUUGUGAACAGCAUAGAUAUAGCAACGAUAUAAAACACUGACCAUUAAAAAUUGACUGCUUAUAAUAUAAUUGCUUCAAUGCAAGCAGGCCACUUCAGAUAGUGAAAUAUUAUUGGUUUAACCAACUAUGCGCUCAGUAGCCAGACAAUAUUAUACCUGUUAAACUGCGAGCAACAAAUACAGUACAAAAAGCAGACAUGCACAAGUGACAUCAUACCGCAAAUGUCAAUUUAAGCUUACGAGUGCACUGCUUCUACUAGUUCAUCAAAGGGACAAAAUAAAAAACAAACACCAACAAACCAACAUUUUCAAGAAUGAAAAAUUCAGCCAGGGAUGCUCCCCAUCGCAGGUGUUUAUCAUCAAAAAAGCAAGCACUUGUAGUCUGUUCAAUAGGUAAGAAUGGUGAAGCCUGAAGAGUGACUCUAUCGUUUUAGGAUAUGGCAGAAUUACAAAAUACGGGUUAAUGAAAAAAAAUGUAAGAAUAAGUAUACGAUGGUUUUUUAGAGCAUCACCUUUUGUAACUUUGGCUGCUCUAUUAUACUAAUUGUUUCAAAUCUCUAAUAAAUAUGCAAUCCAGUUUUAAAUCCGUUCAAACUUCAAAGGGCUUCAUAGCGUCAGCAAAUGCAAAGCUAAACAAACCAAACAAUUAAAAGAAAAACAGUACUCAGACAUUCAGGCCAGCUUACAAAAUUUAGAGCUAGUAAUGAUAUAUGUCUUCAGUAUUUAGGCCUAGACUGCACUGUGCAGGUCAUUGACGACAUUGUACCAACUAGGUGUGACAACCAGAAAUCGUACCCCCGUAUGUAUUGCAACAAUACUGCAGAAUCGAGGUACCAUAAUAAAGCUCUAACUAAAUGAGAUUUGUGAAUCGAAGUAAGCAAUGUGGUGAAGUGUGUCCAAGGGGCUGCUUACUCAAAAGGAUAUUAUAUUUUCCAGGCAUGGCGAAGUAAGUCUCCGGAGUGGAUCAGAGACAAGAUAAACCUGUUUCCACUGGUUGCAGACUACAAGACUGCGAGUAGACUCGACGCAGCAAUCUUGUGACUCAGUUGUGUAUGUCGUCAUGGUGACAAGUUCGCACGUAUGAUCCUUCCACAUCAGUUCGGGAAUUGAUGCUGCAGGGGGGUCAUGGCUGCAACAUCUAAACGAGCAGAAACCAGGGUUGUCCGCAGGUUUACUGAGAGAAACAAAUCUGCGGGUGCUUAGAAGCUCCUCCUCCUCCCCCUUGGCAUCAUCACGGCCGGUCGAUAUCGGGAACUCUAGGAUUGACAAGGAUGGUGCGCUGCUGCAGACUGUGAUCUUGUAAGCGGUGAUUCGUCGGGUGGCGCUCGACAAGCCGAGGACGAGAAGGGGGCCGUGAGGGAUGGCGCCGCCGAUGAAGGGCAGGUCCUUAUCAUCCAAUUUGGCCCAUCGAUUCUUCGCCACGUCGAACAUGUGUGUGCCCGUCUGCUGCUCAGUUAUCGACGGCCUGUGGAUGCUGAUCUUCUCGGUUAUCGAGACCAGAAUGUAGGAGCCGGCCACGGCUACAUGGGACUUGAUUGUGAACUCCCGCGGGAAGAGGUAUGACCUUGGUGUGAGGUCCCAGGGGAAGAAGGGCGGCCGCGGCAGCUCCUCCCAUUGGCAGCCCACGAGACGGCCAUCUUCUCCCACCUGUGCUUGGGAGAGAUCGAGCAGCUCGAACCAGGGCACGAAAUUGACAUCCCCUAUCACGGCGGGUGUCCUUGCCAGGGCGUAGAUCUUGUCGCCGAGCGGCAGCAGGACCGGGUAGAGCUUGGUGGACAGAGGCUUGGGUCCCGGGAUCACGGCGCCUGUGUUGGUGUCGAAGACGACAGUCUCCGGGGCGUAGUCCGGGGCACGGUUGCCGCCGACGCCGACGAUCCACGGGCCGUGAAUCGACCGCACGGGGACGAACGACAUGCAGUGCUUGGCUUCCAGGCGGGCGAGGUGGGGCGGAAUCGGUGUCGGGGUGCCGCCGGAGCCGGCAUCAGCAGCGAAGGGGUGAACCUUGAUCACGGAGUAGGCAGGGCUAGUGACUCCAUGGCCUACCACUAGGUACACUGACGGCGAAGGAGAAUCCUUUGAGGACGCCUUCUCCGGCUCCAGCUUCGGCUUCUUCCUCCGCCGCGACAUCUCCGCGCACCGCCGCCGCGCAAGUUUUUUUUAUGGGAAGGUUGGUGAUUGGUUUUUUUUUUUUAGAAUGGUUGGUGAUUGGUUUGGAUGAGUGGUUCGGCUCAUCCGGAAAAAAAAACUUUUUCCAGCCAAGUCUGGUGUUUAUGGGCCUGAGGGCUAUUCUUUGCCCUCCCCCCCUCAUCAUAUGGACGCUAGCUAGGGUUUUUUUUCCUGCUAUCUCGCCGCCAGCCUCCUUCCCCCCGCCCCCGGCCGUACUCAGAAACAGGAGGAGAGAUGCCGAUGCCGGAGAAGAAGAUGAAGAGGAAGAGUAGUUCGAGUACCGCACCUCGGCUCAUUCGCGUUCGCCCAGCUGGGAGCAAGAAGAAGAUGCCUUGUAGCGAGGCUGCGCAGCCGGUGUACCUAGUUUUGGAGCACUGCGGAGACUCCAAGCCCUACUACACCGUCAUUGAGGCCGCCGGCGGCGCCGCCUCCCACACCAUCCAGAACCUCAGCGACGGCAUGUCCUUCGCCGCGGUGGAGUCGGCGCGGCACGGGCCCCGGAUCGUCGGCGUCGGCCUGCGAAGCGCCACUGUCUACAACCCCAAAACCUCCAGGGAGAUCGCCGCCCCCUUCCUUCCGGACCGCAAGCUGAACCCCGUCCUGAUCGCGCACGGCAGCAAGCUCUACGCGCUCUCCCGCGUCCCCUCCGUCGUCAGGGGCAUCGACUUCGACCCCUGGUUCUUCGUCCUCGACCUCGACGACAGUUACGCCACCACCGGGACCGUCAGGGGCACCAGUUGGCUUAGCCUGCCGCCGCCUCAACCCGCUCGAGUACCGCGACCCGCCCGAGUACCGCGUCGCGUCCUACGCCGUCGUCGGCUCCCACAUCCUGCUCUCCGCCUCCGUGCACCAGCAACCAGAUAAACAGGGUACAUGCGCCUUUGAUGUGGACGCCAAGGAAUGGCACAUGGUGGAUGACAAGAACCUGCCUUUCGUCGGCCAGGCCGUGCCCCUCGGCGACCGCCGCUUCCUCCUCCGCCAAGGCGAAAGGCGGCGCUCCGACGGUGUACUACAUGGAGAUGCAGGUGGUCUUUUCACCAGGAAGAAGCUCAUGCUGUACCAUUAUAGAGUUGGCGGUGGUAUCUGAGGGCAUGGUGCCGGGGCAGCUCUUGUGCGCCAUGGGGAACGGCUGUUUCGUUUCUUUCGACGUUGAUGAUCCCGAAACAGAUGAUGACAAGCGGCGGUGGCGGGACAAAGCACGCAUUGUUCAUCGCAUCUACUCUCAGGUUCUCGACGCCGAGACCAAAUCGGUUGUCACAGCGUUGCAGCAGGAGCACGUUUACAAACUGCGUGAUCCAUACCAUCAUUUGGAUCCUCCUACUCGUGUGGUUGCUGCGGUAACUAUAUAAGCAUGGAGCAGAACCAUCUAAGGUUGUUACAGUAAAAAACAUAUGUGAUGAAGCAAGUUAAUUAGACAGUACUUUCACCGAGAUGUGCUGCAGCAAAAUGCACCGAGUUGUGGCCACCUUGGAUGGUAUCUUCUUGCAUGUAGGCCUUCCUUCGUCUAUCUGUAAGCAUGGUGGAUGUCUGCAUGCUAGUGGAGUGCCAUGUGUUUGCUCAGCGUCUUAACUAUGAAUUGUAUUGCCACCGCACUGCCCAUCUAUUGGGACCGCGACGAGCGAGGUCCAUGAACUGGGCGUUGCCGGCGCUAAACACGUAGUACAGCGGUAGGCAUUCAUAUGGGCCGGUGUAGAGCCUACAGGCCCAUCAUGCAGGCAGAAGAAAAAUGCCCAAUUGGUUACUUGUUUGCCGUUUCUCUGAAAUUCGAGACCUUGUUAAUUGUUAUGCGUUAAGCACUUGCACUUCAGAAGAGUGCACUAACUCAGGCAAGCUGAUGAGGCUAAAUGCUGAUGGGCUAAUUUUAUUGUAGAAAUUUUCUCGUGUUCCCGCUAAAGGAAAUAAUUUUCUCGGGUUUAGGGAUUAGUUUUCGCUUGAAGAAAUAGUUUUCUAAGCUUUCAGAAACUUUACUGAGGAAUAAUGAAAAGUCAUGAAGAAUAAUUAUCUGCCAGACAAAACAAAUUAUAACAAAAGAGUUGUCCAAGUUAUUUUUAUUUAAUUUUGUGAUGAUAUGCAAUCGUGAAAUAUGCAACCUGAGAGCAUCUCUAGCAGAUACCGUAUAUCACCCUGAUCUCUUAUUGUUUCGGCAAAAAAAUAAUAAGACUCAAGCAGAUCCCGUAAAAUCGACCGGCCCAUUUUCCUUCUGGAUCCCCCUAAAAUCACCUGCUGCCACACUAUAUGUCCAGUUCCCCCGCGAGAUUUUUGGGUAACCUGCAUCUCCUAAUUAAAACACGUUUUGCAGGGCUGCAAUUUCAACUCGUGCUCUUUCGAUUCCACACCUGCCUCGUCCUCGAAACGAGCCGCCACGGGCUGCUCCUCUGGCCAUUGCAUAACUGAGAAGAUUCUAGAAUACUUAUAGAUAUUUACAAGAAGCCUUCGAGCUCCCUAGAAGGCUUGAGAGGUUGCAUGAAUGUUGAGAUAUUUGUCAUGUAAGCUCCUAGAGCAAUUUCACCACGGUAAGAUAGAAAUAUUCUGGAAAUCUCUUGGUACAUGAAGAGUAGUGCUAUUUACCAUGAAAGACACUGGUAGAGCAAUAUUUUGAUGGAAAAAAUAAGAAAUAUUUACACUAGGAUAUUUUGGUAGAGUAUUCUAGAGAAUAAAUAGUUGUCAUAUGAUGUUUAAGAUGAUGACACUUUGAAAGGGCAUUUCUAUCCCAUUAUUUGUUAAUGAUAACAUGAUAGUGGACUAAUAGUGUGCUAAGUAUUUCAGAUUCGAUAUCAAAUGGCAGCUUGUAUCCCUAAAUUUUGAAAAUAAAAUUAAAAUUGUUAUACUCACCUAUUUACACACCCAUCUAGUCGACCAUAUCGAUCUUUCACACUUGUCAUGCAUUAAAUGAUAUUGUAAAGUAUAAAUAGAGGUGUUGCCUCAUCACAUGAUGAGUAUUGUACCAAAAAGGUGUACCAAGCAUAAGAUGUUAGCUAUCAUGAGUGAGUUUAAAGUUAUGUUAGUAACGUAGAUAGUAAAAUUAGUGUUGUGACAAAGUUGUGAUAACAAAUAAAGUCUUCAAUUCUUCUCUACUAAGUGUGAUUUUUCAAUUAUUUUAAUGUGAAGUGGUUAUUAGGUUCCUCUACAAAAUAUGUACAUAUACAAUGAAGGUAGGAAAACGCGUGGGGUUUAUAUGCACUCAAAUCCACCGAACUACUCACUCAAAUACUAACAUGUGUCUUCUAAUUUUGCAGAAUUUAGCAUAUAAACUUAUCCCACUAAAAAAAUCGAAUUCAGUCUAAUAAAGGCAUAAUCAAAAUAAAAGAAACGAUCGAGAAUUACCCCAAACUCUUUCUUGCUCUUUAAAGAAAUCAUGUAAAGAAACGCUUUUUUAUUUGCCUUUUUGGAAAUCCUAAUUCUGAAAAUCAUGGCUUUACUCACAGGCAUUAAAGUAAACUACUUUCCGCAUGUAAGUAUGAUAUAUUUCCACGCCUUAUGAUCAUUAUGAAAUCAUGGCUUUACUCACAUGCAUUAAAGUACCAAUAUAUGUCUUCUUCUCUUGUUGAAUCACAUAAAUGUGGAUGUCUUUUUUCAUUGUUGCAGAAUGCAAAGGGCUUAAUCCAAACUACAACAGAAGACAAUUGUUAGUAUUUAAUAACAAGUCAAAUCAAGUAAUACAAAUGAAAAUGGUCAGAAACAAACCUAAAAAACACAUAGUUUGGGCCUUCUUUUUGUAACGUAUAACAUAACUUAGUUUCUAGUGGGACUUUAAUUACUACAAAUUCAGAAGCUUUAUCAUGACAUAAUUUGCAACAGUUUAUAUAUGCUUAAGCUGAAAAAUACACGGAGCUCAUCGUGUAUAGGUUUAGCCCGCGACAAUUUGUCAUUUAUAGUCGUAACACAAAAAACCACAUCAUACUAACAAACUUAGAGAUAAUAAAGCAACCUAACUAAGAGACAAGCUACAACUAGAAAUGUUCAUGUAUUCUAUCAAUCGUAAGUUUUCUUACUCCAUCUAAACACUUGAUGCAAUUAUAGGAAAAUAACCGGAACAUGUUUCCCCAUAUCCAUUUUGAAUUACACUUGAUACUAAUAUAUGUAAGAUAUAUUAGUAAGCUAUAGCAAAAUGCCGUGUCAUGUCAAGUCACCAUUGAAAAUCGCAACUUAUAAUUUCUGUAUAAAAACAUCACAAUUAACCUAGCUAGUCAAGGGCUCAAGGCCGAGAGGUAGCAAAUGUCCCAUCUCAUAUUGGAGCUUGCGACUUUUGCAGCCAAGUCAAUCACGUACGUAUUCAGGUCCACGAUCGAUUGGAUGACAUUAGACCUUCCAACAACAGAUCAUAGACAUUAAUUAUACGCUUAUAGGCUACAUCAUCCCACGGCAGAGGGGGGAGACUGUGUUGCCCGAGCUAUAUAUCGUGAUACAUCUAUUUAGUUAAUCUUGUAGUUUUAUGUUAAUUUCUAUUUAUACAAUUAUCGUAGAAAGAAAGGUAUUAGCCAGAGUGUUCAAUAUUAAAAUUAUUUUUUUCUUCAAAAAGGAGGUACGACCCCAGCCUCUUGAGAGAGAGAGAGAGUGAAGUAAUUUUUGUGGACCACGCGAUAUGUGCAAUUUCGAAUGCAAUCUAAGCUAGAUACAAAACAAAAGAACUAGCUAGUUCAUGAAGCUUCUUGAAAGUAAUUUUCUGGAUCGGUGGUGCUAUUUGAUCGAUCAGUCUAGAUGUUUCAAGCAUCUAGUCUAGAACUAGCUAGAAUGAAAGGAAAUUAAGAUGGAGUUUUUUUGGUCAUCGAUCAAUGUCGAUCGCUCCGGCAACGCAACGCAAUGGAGUAGCUAAAGAGCUAGCUAGCAGGGAAAGCUAGGACGAUGCAAUCCUCAGCGUGUGGCUCGUGGGAGACAUUGGAUCUCGUCCACACAAUUUAACAUCACCCAUCGCUUUGCUUGCAUUUCUUGAACUAGCUUAGCUACGCACACAUGCAUGCAUUCAGCUUCACAUAUAUCUCUCUGCAAGCAUGGGUUAGAGCCUAUAAACACAUGAAUUAGGACUUAAUCAUGGACAUUCUCUAGAAUAGUCGGGCACGGUCUAGGCUAGUCCAGUCGUGUUGGACGCUAGCUAUAGCUCCAUGGCCGUCCUCUGUUAUCUCUACUGCUCAGUGCAGCUAUAAAAGAGCGAGAUCGAUCGACAGCCAGCAGCUGCAUUGGUAUCAUCAGCUCGAUCGAUCAGUAGUGUGAUCUCAGAGCUCCCAUCGCGAUCGAGCAGCUAAGCUUAUAAUUAUUAAGCUCAGCUGAGCAAGAGAACUAACUGUAGAAAUUAAGUAAGCACCAGCUGAAGCGACGAGAAAACGACAGUACGUACUGUACGAUAUGGCUGCUGCUUUCUCGUCCACCCUUGGAGCACCGGUACGUAAUUAAUCACUUUCUCAGUUCUAGAACAAGUGACGUGAAUUUGUAUAAAAAUCUAUGCAAAUCCACGUAUAUAAAUCCACGUCACUUAUUUUGAGACGGAAGGAGUACUAGAGUUGCCAAGAAGUAAGGUAUUAAUCCAGUGGAUAUAACGUUAUGCAUAUAUAUGCUUCAUCGUCAACUAGAGCUAGCUUACUAGCUGCACUGUCGGUCAGUUUUAAUUACUUGCUUGUCAACAUUAAUUAAUUCUCCGAAUGAAAUGACCAAAGUGAUAGUAUAGUAUUUUAUUUACACUAUCUUUAUCAUGUCUCAUGAGUACUAUAUAUUCUGCGUUUUGUGCUAACCAAUUCAAUCUAAUGAUCAUGCUAUCUUAUUUGGAAAUGUGUGCAUAGGAAUUACCUUGAUGGCCUUUUUCGGUCUGGCCAGGAUCACGGCUCAAUCCACGGGUUCUUCCGGCCGCAAAUCCCGGAUGUACCAAAAUGGGCGUUUAGUUUUGGACUUUAAGGGCUUUUCCUGUACUAAUCUUGUCCUACCCUAGCCGAACCACAAGAAAAAAAAAUCAUGAAUCUCAACCACGUAAGGGCUUGUUUGGUUUGAGGGGGAUUGACAUGGAUCGGAACCAUGCCAUUCCAUGUUGUAACCAAACAAGGUCUAAAAGGGAUUGUGACCAAAUAAGGUCUAAAAGAACUUGACCCAAGGAGGUGGGAUCGUAUAUCCACAUAUUUAACUAAAUAGGUUUGAGCUUUUGUAGUAUUAUACUCCAUCCAUCGACUUGUAGUGGACAUGCAAAUAUUUUGAAAUUUAAAUUUCGCCAGUAAUUUGACCAAUAAUAUAUGUAAUUUGUAUUUCACAAAAUUAGAGCUACAUAUUAGUGAAAAACUUAACGGUGUAAUGUUUAUGCUGCAUAACCUACAUAUUGUUGGUGUAAUUGAUAAAUUUGAAAUACAUGGUCGUCCAAAGGAUGGAGUAGGACGUAUGACUGAGGAGAGCCAUUGGACCAACCAAUCAUUUUUAAGACGUCUCCAAAACCAAAUGAUGAUUAUAUGCUAAUUCCCUCAUAUAAAUUGCAUAUUAUCUGACCUAUUUUUUUAUAGCAAAAACAGUGUUACUAAUUUUAGUCUCCCGUUUGUUUUGUAUAAAAAGAGGGACCGGCGACAGUUGGAUGCUGCUUGAAAUGCUUACAUUGAUGAGUUAGGUCCACAUUGGUACCAAAUGCUGCCUUAGAAUAUGGGGAAAAAGUUUAAUUGUCGCAAAAUUUGCUUUCUAGUAGUAGGAUUUAUAUUAACGUCAGGUACGCAAUGAAGAACCAACUGUACUAAAUUAUAAUGUGCAUACAUAGAUAAUAUUUCUCUUAGUGUAACUAUCCAUCGACUGUGUGAUAAAAUAAUCAAUAAUGUGCACACACACAUAUGCAGGUAUCGACCCCAAGCAGCUUCCUUGGGAAGAAGCUGAAGAAGCAGAGCAACAACUGCUUCUCCAACAAUGGCGGCAGCAGCAAGACCAUCAAGAGCAGCAGGCCGUCGCUGGUCAGGGUCAUGGCGGCGGCGAAUAAGGACGUCGACGAAGGGAAGCAGACGGACGGCGACCGGUGGAGGGGGCUCGCCUACGACAUCUCCGACGACCAGCAGGACAUCACCCGUGGCAAAGGCAUCGUGGACGCCCUCUUCCAGGCCCCCAUGGGCGACGGCACCCACGAGGCCGUCCUCAGCUCCUACGAGUACAUCAGCCAGGGCCUCCGGCAGUACGACUUCGACAACACCAUGGACGGGCUCUACAUCGCCCCGGCUUUCAUGGACAAGCUCGUCGUGCACCUGGCCAAGAACUUCAUGACCCUGCCCAACAUCAAGGUCCCUCUGAUUCUGGGCAUCUGGGGUGGCAAGGGGCAGGGGAAAUCGUUCCAAUGUGAGCUUGUGUUUGCAAAGAUGGGGAUCAACCCGAUCAUGAUGAGUGCUGGGGAGCUCGAGAGCGGCAAUGCCGGUGAGCCGGCGAAGCUGAUCCGGCAGCGGUACCGGGAGGCGGCGGACAUUAUCAAGAAGGGCAAGAUGUGCUGUCUAUUCAUCAAUGAUCUCGAUGCCGGGGCCGGGAGGAUGGGUGGAACCACGCAGUACACGGUGAACAACCAGAUGGUGAACGCUACGCUGAUGAACAUCGCUGACGCGCCGACCAAUGUGCAACUUCCAGGGAUGUACAACAAGGAGGAGAACCCCCGGGUGCCGAUCAUAGUCACCGGCAACGACUUCUCCACCCUCUACGCGCCGCUCAUCCGAGACGGGCGCAUGGAGAAGUUCUACUGGGCGCCGACCCGCGAGGACCGCAUUGGCGUGUGCAAGGGCAUUUUCCGCACCGAUGGCGUCCCCGACGAGGCGGUGGUUAGGCUCGUCGACAUGUUCCCGGGGCAGAGCAUCGACUUCUUCGGCGCGCUGCGUGCCAGGGUUUACGAUGACGAGGUGCGGAAAUGGGUCGGGGAAAUCGGUGUGGAGAACAUUUCCAAGAGGCUGGUGAACUCGAAGGAGGGCCCGCCCAAGUUCGAGCAGCCGAAGAUGACAAUCAGUAAGCUCAUGGAGUAUGGGCACAUGCUUGUCCAGGAGCAGGAGAACGUGAAGAGGGUGCAGCUUGCAGACAAGUACCUCAGUGAGGCUGCACUGGGUGAAGCCAACGACGACGCCAUGAAGACCGGGUCCUUCUACGCCAAGGCCACUUGAUUCUAGUAAUUAAGAAUGCCGUCACUAUAUAUGCAUGUUUGGAAAAUUCCGUACCUUUUUUGAUUCAUCGCCGCACAGGUAAACGAUUUGAAUUGUAAGUUUCUGAAUACAAAGAAAUGGAAUUGUAUAUGUGAAUUACUUGUUGGAACAUUAUCAUAUAUCUGGAAAUCCUCUGAGGCUUUCUUGAUUAGGUACCGUGGGGGUCAUAUAAUUGGACAGAGAUUGUGAUGCAAACGGCUGGAUUAUUGUUUCAAGAAGAAAGAUCAAUGGUCUAUACUAAACCCAAAAAUCAAUUAAUGAGACUUCCAGGGAAAUUGAUCUUGGCAGCUCAUACAUCAAAGCAUUGCAGAAAUGACAUGCUUAGCUGUUUUUUCUCAAAAAAGUACAGACAUGGCUACCUUAAUUUUAUCUUUUCCAUACUGAUGUUUUACCAAAGAUGCAAUGUAUGGAUGUCAUGCAAGUUCUUUUAUUUUUGCGGUAAUAAUGCGAAGUAUGAAGCACAAACGUACAACACCCAUGUGCCUUGAUGUCAACAGGGGCCGACUUAACUUGUGUGGUACCAAUUGACAGCCCUAGCUUGAUGGUUAUCAACAAACCAGCAAAUAUAAGCCAGCAACAUAUUUUGUGGUACUCGAACUAGGAUCCAAUCUCGGGUGCCUCAUCCAACAAGCAACAUAAGAGUUCAUUUUUGUGUGGUUAUGGAAUAGAAGACCCCAGCUUUCGGCUAGCUGAUGAUCAACAAGACACACUAUCUAUACACCGUGAGUCCGGGUGAAAAGAAACAAAAAUGAAAGGCAAGGAAAGAAGAAAGGAUUCUGAUCAGAGAAUGGCUAGAUCCUGUGGCUGUGGAAUGUUAUAGGAUUCGAGCCAGGAGAUAUCAUAUAGCUGAGCUGCAAGCUGCAGCGUUUGGUCUUCACAGUCCAAGUCAUCCAAACCAGCGGGGGCCAAGAUGCACCCGGCCAGAACCCAAUCUCCAGUGUGUGGCCUGUGGGGGAUCAAGAAGCUGAUCCACAAGCACGGGUGUGUGUGUGCCACCUCCCAGCAGCCUCCCACAGCAACAAGAUGGAUAUCCACGUGUAUUUAAGGCAUCUCAUACCUCUGCCUCUAUACUUUGAGCAGCAGCAGCCAUUACUUGAUCAUCUGAAAAAUCUUAAUCCAGAUCAGACCAAGCAGAGCAGAGAUGUCUGCUACCUUCUCGUCCACCGUCGGAGCUCCGGUGCGUACCACACAUCGAUUCAUCGGUCCACAGCUAUCUUUUCUUAAUGGUAUCAUGUCUUCAAUGGCGUCUUGUGUUGUGUCUACAGGCUUCUACGCCAACCAGCUUCCUUGGGAAGAAGCUCAAGAAGCAGGUGACCUCGGCCGUGAACUACCAUGGCAAGAGCACCAAGGCCAACAGAUUCACAGUCAUGGCCAAGGAGGUGGACGAGUCAAAGCAGACUGACCAGGACAGGUGGAAGGGCCUCGCCUACGAUAUCUCCGACGACCAGCAGGACAUCACCAGGGGGAAGGGUAUCGUCGACUCGCUCUUCCAGGCGCCCAUGGGCGACGGUACCCACGUGGCCGUCCUCAGCUCCCAAGAGUACAUCAGCCAGGGCCUAAGGAAGUACGACUUCGACAACACCAUGGGAGGCUUCUACAUCGCCCCAGCCUUCAUGGACAAGCUCGUCGUCCACCUCUCCAAGAACUUCAUGACCCUGCCCAACAUCAAGGUACGCAGCCAGCACAUGAUCAAUUCAUGACUAUUUAAUUUAAUUUAUUAGCAGUAAUACAAUUGAACAAAGCUGUUUGUGAAGCUUUACUGUAAUUUGGGUGCUAACGAAUCGAAAAUUCAGGUGCCACUCAUCUUGGGUAUCUGGGGAGGCAAGGGUCAAGGAAAAUCCUUCCAAUGUGAGCUUGUCUUCGCCAAGAUGGGCAUCAAGUAAGAACUGUUUGAAGUUACUUUCAUCUAUUGUUAAUUGCCAGCAACACAAAUAUCAUGUCUGCACCCGAAUUAAGCAAGUAGUAACAGAUGAUGAUGUGUGCUUGCUACAGCCCAAUCAUGAUGAGUGCCGGAGAGCUGGAGAGCGGAAACGCCGGAGAGCCAGCCAAGCUGAUCAGGCAGCGGUACCGUGAGGCCGCAGACUUGAUCAAGAAGGGUAAGAUGUGCUGCCUCUUCAUCAACGAUCUCGACGCUGGUGCGGGUCGGAUGGGCGGGACCACCCAGUACACUGUCAACAACCAGAUGGUUAACGCCACCCUGAUGAACAUCGCGGAUGCCCCCACCAACGUGCAGCUCCCUGGGAUGUACAACAAGGAGGAAAACCCCCGUGUGCCCAUCAUCGUCACUGGUAACGAUUUCUCCACGCUCUACGCGCCACUCAUCCGUGACGGUCGUAUGGAGAAGUUCUACUGGGCCCCCACCCGCGAAGACCGUAUCGGUGUAUGCAGGGGUAUCUUCCAAACUGACAACAUCAGCGACGAGUCCGUCAUCAAGAUCGUAGACACCUUCCCAGGCCAAUCCAUCGGUACGUUCCCUGCACUCCACCGAUAAUAGUAUGCAUACAUCAAUGCAAGAGUAGUAAUUAACAAAGGAAAUGCUGAUCCCAAAACAGACUUUUUCGGAGCGCUGCGUGCCCGGGUGUACGACGAUGAGGUGCGCAAGUGGGUCAGCUCAACCGGAAUAGAGAACAUCGGCAAGAAGCUGGUGAACUCGAAGGAUGGACCGGUGUCCUUUGAGCAGCCAAAGAUGACAAUCGAGAAGCUCCUGGAGUACGGCCACAUGCUCGUCCAAGAGCAGGACAAUGUCAAGCGUGUGCAGCUUGCUGACAAGUACAUGAGCGAGGCUGCUCUGGGAGAUGCUAACUCAGAUGCCAUGAAGACUGGUUCCUUCUACGGUUAGAACACUCUUCAUACACACACCAUCUCUAGCUGCAUAGGAGGAGGUGAACUACAAUCUUUUUUUUUCUAUUUUCAGUAUCUACUUUACAUAUACUUCAAACUUGUGUACUUCCAAAAUAAAAGGGAGUGAAUUAUAAGCGACAGCGAGAAAUUAUUCUUACCUGUUCUUCUGGCACAUCAAGCUGAUCUUCUCAUUGCAUUGUGCAAAACAACUAAAUUUCAGGUAAAGGAGCACAACAAGGUAAUUUGCCCGUCCCAGAAGGUUGCACUGACCGGAAUGCCGAGAAC